rnacentral:lncRNA from 1 species
CUCCAAGUUGGACCUCCUUGGUAACAGAGGAGACAUUUGCGUUAAGGCAAUUCGCCUUACAUCCCUUAGUGAGCCUCCUGCAGAAGUUAUUGUUGCCCAAAUUGCGAAGUGCUAUUGUCUGGUCGUUAACUUUGAAGAGUCGAAACAAGGUAUCCUUGUUGUUGCUGCUAGUGUCAACAGAAUCCGCCAAAAUCGAAUUCGGACUGCGCCGCCAAAACUUGUUGGAACAAGCGGGUUUGAUACGUAGUUUCCGUCAUUAUCCAUGAAAACCUCCAUGGUCACGGUCGGAUCACCAAUAUCACCAGAUGCAAACUGCAAAUACGGGUGACCAUCGAUUUAACGAAGACAAAGAUAUUUUCCGUUGUUUCCUUUGAAUGCCACAUGCCUUGGCAAAAACACCAGCGUCUCCCAAUCAAUGAUUCUUUCUUAAAGAUCUUCUGCAGAUUAACGUAGCAGCAAUUAGACAUUAAAGUGACAACUGACAACCAUAUUGGUCCAUGAAUUGUUGCAUGUGAUGAAUAUAUGGAAUAGUGAUGCAGAUCUCAAGAUCUGAAAAAUCGAAAAAAAAUAUAAAAGAAUUGAAGCAAAAUCACCUAAAAAGAUAGCCCGUUGAAUAAAUGAUAAUGCACUUAAUCGAAAUAUUUUUAUUAUUUAUUUUUAAUUAAUUUUAAACAUGAAAUUUAUCUAAUUUGGCACUUAAUCAAUUUAUGUAGGUAUAAUUAUUAUCCAAUGUGUUGAGAAAUGAAUAAAUAUAUAGAUUGCAUGAAAGAUUUGAUAUGAAAACUCAAAAGUUAACACACAAGACAAAUUUGAAUAUUUUGUUAAUUUUAAUUAUUAUUAUAAUCAGGGAUGAAGGUAGAAAAUUUUUUUGGGGUCAAAAUUAAAUUUUAAUUUUUAUAAUUUUAUAAUUUUUAAAAGAUUAAAUUAAAUUUUUAUCAUUUUUAGGGUACCACAUUGGAUGGGUUGGAUAACGGAGAAGCGUGUCAAUUAUGGAGCCCCAGUAAAUUUAGCAACAUCUUCUCCUGCCUUGCUUUAUUACCAUCCCUAGGCUUGAAUAUCCAAGUUCAAGACCCAUCAUGUGCAUAUGCUUAUGUGUGGGUUUUGUCCAAUUCUUCUUCGUCGAUUGUGUUGUGUAUUGGUUUGAUUUUACAUUGUAAUUGAUCAAACAUAUGUAUGUAAUUAUAUCAUACCUAUAACUGUAUCAUAUUUAUGAUAGUGAAACUUUGAAAAGAAUUUUUUUAGGGAGGGAUCCGCCAUAUUACAUGUUUAGUUAUCUCAUUAAAUUCCUUUGAAGUCUAAAUAAAUAAAAUUUUAAAAAUUAAUUUUUUUGACAUAUAACAUUAUAUCAUUCCCUGUUAAUAUAUAAAAUUAUAGAACGAUGGGCAAUAAAUACGAGACUAUAAUAAUGAAAAACUAGGAAACACCACACAUUAAUUUAUUUAUUUAUUCAUUCAUUCUCAUAUUAAAGUACAUGAGAUUAUUAAUACAUAAUAUUCAAACAAACAUAAUAUUGCAUGAAAGAAACACACAUUUAUUUAAUUUAACUUAAUAGAUGCACAUAAAAAGACACAGUCUGAUUAUGUUAUGCCCUAAGGGCACAUGAUUUUCUCAAAUUCGAUGUUGUAGUAAUUAGAAACAGUGUAAAUGUUACCUUCCAUUUCAGUUGUGAAAGUGUUGCCAUUAUUAAGUGUGUUACUUUGCUUGAACGUGAAUGGAACAUCACACUUACCUUUUGUUGCAAUCAAACUCACAACCACCUUAGUCUUCGGAGGCACCACAACCUUCUGUAUAACUUUUUUUUCUAGAGGUCGUUAUGAAUGUCUCAUUGAGCUCGUUAUGGAGUUGUUCAUGAUCGGAUAAUUCGAUCUUCCCGCCCUCACUAAUGAUCGGGAAGCUGUUAACGUCGAAGGUGGCUUUGGUUUCCAACUUGAGUGGAGAAUUCGUGCUCCAUAUAUUAGACUUUAUGAUGCGGUCGUUGAAAGCACCAAAAAUAUCAUAUCCCUAAUAAGUAAUGAAUAAGAAUAGUAAAAGGGAAGUAGGGUCAAAUCCUCAAGGACUAGAUUUGCACAAUAUCUUAUUCCGUAAAAUCCCAGGCAGAAUCUUCCACAAGAAAAACUGCGUUCCUGAAAAAAAUAAAAAAUAAAAAAAUUAAAGGUUUGGAUCUGGAAACGAAAAAUAAAAUAAAAACAGAAUUAAGAAUAUUGAAUAAAAAAUUUGAGAAAUUAAAAAUAAGAGUUGAGAGAAAUGAAAUUCUUAUGGAGAUUCCAACCUCCAAUUGUCUCAUUCCACCUUGGGUUCAAUUCUCAGCUUUUAGAUGAUCCUUCCCAAACCAAAUAAGCCAGUUAUAGUGGAAGAGGACGCCUACGACCACCAACUCCAAAGAUUUAGACUUACGAUUUAGUGGAACCUGACUCUAGCCAACAAUCGCUUUUGUGGGAUCGUCUUAUGCUAGAUCAACGCUUCUCAAUGGCGAAUCUCACACCAUUUUGUCUCUUGGACUCGCCAACCUCUGACGCAGUAAGCUAACGAACUGACUGUGCAACGUUCCCAAAACAUACAAAGCAGUCGCCUUUGCAUACGUUGAAAAGCUUACUUCUUAAAGGACAUGGAUGGAAGCGUCAACCCCGAAGUGCGGAGAAAGGAUGAAUACUCAGUGAGGAGGCUAAGUACGGAUUCUAAGCCUGAAGAACCCUUUUUGGGGAAUAUUGACAACCUUCGGCUAGAUGGAUUUAGUGGCUCAUGAUUGUGGUUGAAAAAAAAUAAAUAUAAUAAAAAUAGAAAUUUUAUUGAAAGGAAAUAUAAGAAAAAAACCUAGACUUUUGGGAAGAGAGUGUUUACAGAAAAAGAUGGAUCUCUUUUGAGUCACUUCACUUCACCCCCUAUUUAUAGCACUAGGGGAGAUAGUCUAAUCCUACUUAAAUUCCCAAAAGAUAAAUACAUUUAAUUGAAGAUAAAUAAAGAUAGAUAAAAUAAAAUCUAAAAAAUAAUCCUUAAUAAUUAUCUCAAUAUUAAUUAUCCUAAUAUAAUUAAAAUAGAGUUUAAUAGAAUAAAAUCUCUUCUUUUUGCAUUUCAACCCUUGUGUCCUCCAUGCUUGCACUUUUGGCACCAACUUUUCCUUGUGUCGCACAUUGGCCCAUUUUAUCUCUAAAUUCACGCUUUUGGCCCUUAAUUUUACUUUUGCCUCAAAUUUAGUCCCUAUGAGAUAAAAGAUCAUAAAUAGCUCAAAUUAGCAGGAUCAUACUCAGAAUAAAUAUAUAAUUAAUACAUAAAAAUACGUUAUUCUAGAGUGUUAUCAAAUUCUCCCUACUUAGCCCAUGCUUGCCCUCAAGUAUGAUUCCUAUCUACUGUGAAAGUUAGAUUCUGCCAUAAAAGAAAUAUCACUCCUUCUAUAAAAAUCAGUUAAAAAUGCAUAUGAAAAAUAAAGAGAACCCGAAGCUUGCUUUAAGUAAAACAGAAAAAGUUUUCCAAUUAAUACACACAAAAAUUAGAAUCGACUUGAAUUAUUUAAUGAAAAUUAGGUAAAUUACCAAACCUACUAAGACACCAUAUUUGAUUCCUCCUUUAGUCCCCAAAAUAUUUUCUUUUUCUUUUUUUUUCUUUUUUUUAUUUUUAUUUUGAUUUAUUUAUUAUUUAUAUUUUUAUGCUUUAGGAAUAUACUGAACCUUUUGACGCGAUUCGUACAAGCAAGGACAAUAAAAAAAACCAGAUCAAUUGUUUUAAUAGUCUAAUGACUUGAAUGAAAAGUUUUAAAUAAUUCAAUGAAAUUAAGUGACCAAUUUAAUGACCUUAUAUGUAAUUUACCCUAUAUAUAAUUAUUUUUAUAUACACUUUUUAAAAAAAUUUGAUAAAAUCACAAGUUGCUAGCAAAUAAGAGAAGAAAGAUAAAAUAAAAAUAAAUCCAAACCCCUAUUAUAUUAAAAUCUUUUGACUCAAAACCAAAUUUGCAUUUCACAAAAAUAUGAUAAUUUAGUACUACAAAAUCACAAUUAGACAUUUCUUUGAAGUCUUUAGUAACUGUAAUAAUUGGUUGCGGGCUUUACUUUCAUGUGUCGCAUUCAUGGCAUCCAACCUUAUUAUGAGCUUUUCUAGAACCAUUGCUGUUGUUCCAAUAGGGUCGGAAGCGUGUAAAUUAUUGUACUAAAAAAUCACACAAAGUUCAAUUCCCAGGGAAGAGAGGUGGAUCACAAGGAUCUCUUAAAUACCAAGUCUUUCCUUAGACAGAAUAUCCCUUCUAUAGUAAUUUAAUAGCACAAUUAAAUACUACUAUUAUACCCUCAAAUAUUGAAAGAAAAAUAGGACAAGAAAGAACACAAGAGUUUUAACGAGGUUCGGUAAAUUAUACCUACGUCCUCGGGCACUAACACCAGAUGAUAACUUUACUAUCUUCAAAGUAUUACAAACAAAUAGAAUUCCUUAAGAAUUCUCAAAUGGGAGAAGAGAGAAAACUAAGAGAGAAAGAUUGGUUGGGAUGAAUUGAAAUGAGAAAUGAGAAGGCCUAUUUAUAGUUGAGGUUUAAGGACCAAACAAUAAAUAGCCCAUUAUCUCAAGGACCAAAAAAAAUUAUCCCAUGCCACUUUUUCAAAGUCAAAUUUAGGGUGCUAAACUUGCACCACUUUGUAUUGUUUGCCAUUAAUGUUGUCUCCCAUUAAUGUUAACAAUCUCCACCUUGAAGAUUUGAUUAGGAUAAUCACAUCUUCACACACUUCCUUCAACUCCCCAAAUUCGAUAAAGCUAUCUUUUGUAGUGCCUACAAAUGCACUCUCGGGCGCCAUACACCUGAAGGUGCUCAAAUUCUCAGGAUGUUAAUCAAGUUCAAACAAUGAUUAAACUUGAUUGUUGUUACCACCUUGGUCAUCAUAUCUGCGGGAUUAUCUGCUGUCGGAAUCUUCUGAAGUAGAAUUUUUCCUUUUUCAAAGACUUCCCGCACAAAGUGAUAUCUUACGUCGAUAUGCUUGGUUCUUGAAUGAUAGACUUGAUUUUUCGCUAAAUGAAUAGCGCUCUGACUGUCACAAUAUAAACUUAUGUGACUUUGAACAACUCCUAAGUCUUUCAACAAUCCAUUAAGCCAAAUAGCCUCCUUAACAGCUUCUGUAACUGCCAUAUAUUCUGCCUCUGUAGUAGACACAGCUACUGUAGACUGUAAGGUAGACUUCCAACUUAUUGGGGCUUUCGCAAGAGUAAACAGAUACCCCGUAGUUGAACGACGUUUAUCUAAAUCACCAGCAAAGUCGGAAUCAACAUAUCCAACUACAAACUGACCAAGUGCUUCAUCCUGUUCAAAAAUUAAACCAACAUCUACGGUUUUUCGAAGAUACCGUAGAAUCCAUUUCACAGCUUGCCAAUGUCCUUUUCCAGGAUCAUGCAUAUACCUGCUCACAACUCCAACAGCUUGUGAAAUGUCAGGCCUCGUACACACCAUCGCAUACAUCAAACUCCCAACUGCAUUAGCAUAUGGGACUUUCGCCAUAUAUUCUCUUUCAUCUUCAGUCUUCGGAGAUAAUUGAGCACUAAGUUUCAAAUGAGAAGCAAGUGGGGUACUUACAUGUUUUGUGUUUUCAUUUACACCAAAACAUUGUAAUACCUUUUUCAGAUAUUGCUUCUGAUUUAAACAGAGCUUGCCUCUCGGUCUAUCUCUACUUAUCUCCAUGCCGAGAAUCUUCUUGGCCUCACCUAGAUCUUUCAUCUCGAACUCUUGAUUCAACUGAGCCUUCAGCUUAUCUAUCUCAUUUUGGCUCUUCGAAGCGAUUAACAUAUCAUCAACAUACAAGAGUAGAUAAAUGAAAGAUCCGUCAUGCAGCUUCUGCAAAUAUACACAAUUGUCAUAUUUGCUUCUUGUGUACUUCUGCCUUCUCAUAAAGCUAUCAAAUCGCUUGUACCACUGCCUCGGGGAUUGCUUCAAUCCAUAUAGCGAUUUGUUAAGCUUACAAACCCAAUUUCUACCACCAGCAUCUGUGUAUCCUUCUGGCUGAGUCAUAUAGAUCUCCUCUUCUAACUCACCAUGCAAGAAAGCCGUCUUAACAUCAAGUUGAGCUAGCUCCAAAUUCAACUGUGCUACCAAGGCCAACAAAAUUCUAAUGGAGGAAUGCUUCACAACAGGGGAAAAUACAUCAUUGUAGUCAAUUCCCUCCUUCUGAGCGUAGCCUUUAGCUACCAAUCUUGCCUUGUAGCGAAUAUCCUUCUUGCUAGGAGAUCCAUCUUUCUUUGCGAAUACCCACUUGCAUCCGAUUGCCCUUUUACCUUUCGGUAAUUGCGCCAACUCCCAAGUAUUAUUCUUCCGGAGAGACUGCAUUUCUUCAUCCAUGGCGCUUUUCCAUUUAUCACUUUCUAAGCUUUGCAUUGCUUCUUGAUAAGUGAUAGGAAUAUCAUCAACAACGGGAAGGGCGUAGGCCACUAUAUCAGUAAAUCGAGCAGGUUUACGAAUUUCUCUCCGUGGCCUUGCAACUGCAACUGGUUCUGGUGUACUUAGUGGUUCUUGGGUCAGAACCUCUUCAACCUCUAAUUCCUCCAUUGUGGCUGGAGAAUUAGACUUAUUAACUGGGCAAAUCCCCAUCUGCUCAAACUCCACCUGUUUUGGAGUACACUCCACCUGCUGUGGAGUAUUGCUCGUCUGAAUAUCUUUAUCUGCUACCUUUUUCAAUGUGGUAGAUUCAUCAAAGGUAACAUCUCUGCUACAGAUCAUUUUCUUUGUGCUUAAGCACCAAAGACGAAAUCCCUUCACUCCAGAAGUGAUUCCCAUAAAGAGAGCUUUCUUUGCCCUCGGAUCUAACUUUGACUCCUUCACAUGGUAAUAUGCAGUGGUUCCAAACACAUGUAAGGAAUCAUAAUCUGUAGCCGGUUUUCCAGACCAUACCUCCAUAGGAGUUUUUCUUUCUAAUGCAGAUGAUGGCAAACGAUUAACAAGAUGGCCAGCGUAUGUCACAGCCUCAGCCCAAAAUUGCUUGCCCAACCCAGCAUUGGACAACAUACAUCGAACUUUCUCCAGCAAUGUUCGAUUCAUACGCUCUGCCAAUCCAUUCUGCUGUGGUGUAUCCCUAACUGUGAAGUGUCGAACAAUACCAUACUCUUGGCACACAUCGAAGAACGGAUCACUUUUAUAUUCCCCUCCAUUGUCCGUCCUAAGCCGCUUGAUUUUCUUGCCAGUCUGGUUUUCGAUCAUAGUUUUCCAUUUAAGAAAAACUCCAAGCACUUCAUCUUUAGUUUUCAUGGUAUACACCCAAACUCUUCUGGAAAAGUCAUCAACAAAAGUAACAAAGUAGUGUUUUCCUCCCAAUGAAGGUGUUUUGGAAGGCCCCCACACAUCUGAGUGAAUAUAUUCCAAAAUACCUUUUGUAUUAUGGAUAGCAGUGCCGAAUUUCACUCUCUUUUGCUUUCCCAGAACACAGUGCUCACAAAAUUUUAAUUUGCAAGCCUUUACACCUUUCAACAAUCCUUGCUUUGCCAGAAUUUGCAAGGAUUUUUCGCUGGCAUGUCCCAACUUCAUAUGCCACAACUGCAUUGAGUCCAAGUCUUUGUUACCGGAAGCUGCAGCGACUGCUCCAAUAACUGUACUACCUUGGUAGUAAUACAAGUUAUUUUUCCUGAUGCCCUUCAAUAUCACAAGUGCGCCAGAUGUCACUUUCAAAACCCCAUCUCUCAUAGUAACAACUGAACCAUUGGAUUCCAAGGCUCCCAAUGAGAUGAGAUUUUUCUUCAAACUGGGCACGUACCGAACAUCAGUCAGAACUCUGGUUGAUCCAUCUUUAUUCUUUAAUUGGAUUGAACCUAUCCCAACAGUUUUACAGGCAUUGUCAUUGCCCAUAUAAACAACUCCUCCAUUUAGUUCUACUAAAUCAGAGAACCACUCCCGGUUAGGGGACAUAUGAUAGGUACAACCCGAAUCCAAUAUCCACUCAUCUGAAUGGAACGACGAUGAUGAUGCAACCAGUGAUAGUUCAGAGUCACUAGUAUCAUGCUUAGCAACACAAGCAUCUACAGCAGCUUUUCCCUUAUUCUUCAGCUUUGGACAAUUUUUCUUCCAGUGGCCUUUCUCAUGACAAAAAGCACAUUCAUCUUUCCCGAGUCUGGACUUUGACUUUGAUCUCCCCUUUUGAGUUUUCUUCCGAGUGUAUGAACGACCUCGGACUAGUAAAGCUUCUGUAUCUCUGAUUGAGUUUUUCUGUUUGUCCUUCUUUCUCUGUUCAUAACUGUAUAAGGCCGCACAGACUUCGCUCAGAGAUAUAUCACUCCUGCCAUGAAGUAGAGUAGUUUCUAGGAACUCAAACUCCUCAGGAAGUGACCCCAACAGCAUCAAAGCCAAAUCUUCAUCUUUGAAUGUCUCAUCCAUAUUCAGCAAAUCAGUGACUAACUGAUUAAAUUUGGUGAUGUGAUCAUUCAUUGUGGUACUUGGGACGUAUGUGAAGCGAAACAGUCUUUUCUUCAAGUGGAGCUUAUUUUGACUGUUUUUCUUCAAAAAUUUUUCUUCAAGUGCCACCCACAACUUAUUUGCAGAAGUCUCCUUUGAAAAAGCAUACCUCUGCUCUCGAGAAAGGCAUGAUCGAAUUGUGCCACAUGCCAACCGAUUGAUCGCCUUCCAAUCUUUCUCCUGUACAUCAUCUGGUUUCUCUUCAUCAAUGGCAAUGUCUAGACCCUGCUGAAAAAGGGCAUCUAGAACCUCACUUUGCCACAUACCAAAAUGGCCCGUGCCAUCAAAGAUCUCCACGGCCAAUCUUGCAUUUGCAAUUGUCGGUCUUGUCCACAUGGACGAUGUUGAAGCUCCUACACCGACCGUUUUCUCCAUAAUCUUUCAAUAUACCUAAGGAAAUCUUUUCUGAUGUGGAAGAUCAGUUCAAACUGCAACCACAGAGCAUACUACGAUUAACCUUCGGCUCUUGAUACCACUUGUUGUUCCAAUAGGGUCGGAAGCGUGUAAAUUAUUGUACUAAAAAAUCACACAAAGUUCAAUUCCCAGGGAAGAGAGGUGGAUCACAAGGAUCUCUUAAAUACCAAGUCUUUCCUUAGACAGAAUAUCCCUUCUAUAGUAAUUUAAUAGCACAAUUAAAUACUACUAUUAUACCCUCAAAUAUUGAAAGAAAAAUAGGACAAGAAAGAACACAAGAGUUUUAACGAGGUUCGGUAAAUUAUACCUACGUCCUCGGGCACUAACACCAGAUGAUAACUUUACUAUCUUCAAAGUAUUACAAACAAAUAGAAUUCCUUAAGAAUUCUCAAAUGGGAGAAGAGAGAAAACUAAGAGAGAAAGAUUGGUUGGGAUGAAUUGAAAUGAGAAAUGAGAAGGCCUAUUUAUAGUUGAGGUUUAAGGACCAAACAAUAAAUAGCCCAUUAUCUCAAGGACCAAAAAAAAUUAUCCCAUGCCACUUUUUCAAAGUCAAAUUUAGGGUGCUAAACUUGCACCACUUUGUAUUGUUUGCCAUUAAUGUUGUCUCCCAUUAAUGUUAACAAUUGCAUUAUCCAAGAAAUAAUGAACUAUUUCAAUCAUAUGUGUGGCAUAGUCUGAAAUUUCAAUCUCCUUCAGGUGAAAAGACAAACAAGAAGGAACAUCUAUAUUCCAUCGAGUUCUCGCAACAUUCUAAACUCAUGAAAAAAGAAGAAAAGUUAUUCGGUUUGUACCAUGAAUUUAGGUGAUAUUGAGCAUGCUUUCGAUUUCUUAAGUUUAUCGUUAAAUCAAUUAGUUGCAACGAAUACACGUAUUUAGACAAAGACUUCAUACCUUAAAUUCAAAGGUAAGUGUCUUUAGAUUAGGCGCACAAUAUAGAAACUCCACAAGCCAAGCUUCUCUCCCAUAAAAUUUGAAUUUAGUAAGAUUAUGAAAUAUAGGAAGUCGAUUUGUUAGGGGAAUCUGCCCACACAGGAGGUAUUAUAUACUGUUAUAAUGUUAAAAGGAAAAAAAAACACAUGAAUACUAAGUUUACUAACCAUUUUAUAUAUCAAUCCAUAAACUUAGAGACCGUACAUUGCAAAUUCCUUGAAUAAGAUGAGUUACACUUGUUUCAUAAUUCCUUAAAUUUUGAUGACGAUGCCUCUGGUUUCAGUAUGUUUAUUUCAGCUCUUGCAUCUCAGUUUCAUAAUAUUUCCUUUUGUUGGACGAGACAGGAAGCAAGGCAGCUCAUAUAUUUAUGAGAGUAGUCUUAUCUUAUGCAACCCACUCUGAAUGGAAAAGUCAUCCUUCCAAUCAUUCCUUUAUUUUAAACCAUGAUUUUAUGUUUAAUUUAGACCAUGAACGUAGAAGAUGUUUGGACCGAGAGUACAAGGUUCGCCAGUUGGCUUAGAACUUAGUUUUUAUCCUCUCUUUUAUCAAUUGGUGUUAUUAAUUUGGCAUCAUGAAAUUGUUUCUCCGUAAAAAAAAAAUUAUUAUUUUUUAUAUUACAUAUAAUACUAACAUUGAAACACAAAUCUCAACCCAACUAGAAUCAAGCUUUGGCAUAAUAAAGCUACCAAAUUAUAUUUAUUCACUUAUUCUCAUAAUGACAGUACAUGACACAGUUAAUAAUGAGAUGACAGACAAAUAGUGCUUCGUCCAUGAAGGGAACACCAAUUUAUUUAGUUUAAUUUAUUAAGUACGCAACACACACAAAUCUUCAAGCUUCCAUGGAGCUGUGCGGUUUUUCUCAAUUCAAGAGGUGAGAGGUUCUUCUUUUGUAUCAUAUUGGAUGUUGUAGUAAUUAGCACCAGUGAAAGUGUUACCAGUGACAUCAGUUGUGACAACGGUCCCAUUAUAAAGAGUGUCUUUUUGAGUGAAUACGAAGGGAACAUCACACGUGCCAUGGGACAUCGAUAGAUACACCGUCACCUUAGUCAUCGGUGGCACAUGAGCUUGGUGGUUAGCUUCCAUCACGGUGGUCGUUGUUUUGGUCUCUCCCCACUCGAUUCCUGCUUCGAGUUUGGAAGAUAUUUCGACACCCGCUUUGCCGAUUAAUGGAACCCCUACUUCGAAGGUGGCUUUGGUUUCAAGGCCUAACGUAAAAUGAGCUAGCCAAGUACUGGUAUUGGUCUCUGUAUAAGAAAGUUUCACAUCGAGUGUGUUGGCUUGAGUGGUACGGUUAGUGGCAGAAUUCUCGGCGAGAACAAGGACUUUUUUGUUAUAGACUAGAGCAUUUUCUAUAUCGUAUCGGAGAUUAUAAAUCUUUCUUGACAACACAGGCUCUUGAACCAUUAGAAGGCCUCUCUGGUAAUAGAAGGGACGGCUGCAUUAAGGCAAUUUGUCUUUCCCUCGAUCGUGAGACGCUUGCAGAACUUAUUAUUGCCCAAGUUGAGCAGAGCUAUUGUCUUGUUGUCGACUUUGAAGGCACGAAACCGAGUGUCCUUAUCGGUACCUUUAGUGUCAUUAGAAUCCGCCCAAAUCCAAUUCGGGCUAUGCCUCCAGAACUUAUCAGAAGAAACCGGCUUGAUCCGGAUGUCUCCAUUCUUCAUAUAAAAAACCUCCAUUGGCACAGAUCCAGCACCGACAUCCGUACUCGAGAAUUCUAAAUAUGGGUGACCCUCGAAAUGGCUAAGACGCAGGAACAUAUCAUUGUUUCCUUUGAAAGCAACGUACCGAGGCAGAAUCACCAACGACUCCCAAUCAAUAACUUUGAAGAUAUCAUUGCCAUUAUCCGCAACAUUUUUGUUGUUUGCCAACACGCCACGACCGAGUUCCGAUGUAGCCAAUGGCCAUAAGCAUAAAUAGCAUCCAGAUUGAGCAUGAACAAAUCGAAAAUUUUUAUAUACAGAGUCUUUCAAGAUAGGCUCGAACAAUGUGCAUGACUCCUUGGAUCGGUCUUCUUCCGGCUUAUCGGCAGUUAUAGUAAUCCAAUACUCCUCAUCUGGUUUUCCGGUGAUGGAAGGAUUAUGAGUUCGCUCCAAGUAUUUGUUGUUGGUACAGCUCCUUAUGUGCACCAGCCCAUCUUUAGCAAACUCCACUUCGAAUUUUGCAUUUGCGCUCACGACCGUUGGUUCGGUGAACUCGGCAUACCCGUUGUACUUUCCGUUGUCGUGCUUGUAGCCAAGGUAUGUUUCUGCACCGGAGGAUUUGAGCACGAUGAACCUUGGCACUGACAUUUUCAAUAACAAAGUAACUCUCUCAAUCUUGUGCUUAUGCUUUGGUAUACAUUAAACCUCAAGGGCUAAGCUUUUUAUAGAAAAAACUUAUUGCUCUUUUAUUUUAGUAGUUCUUUUUUAGAUUUUUUUCUUACAACUUUGUGCCAAUUAACAUUACAGCCCACUUGUUCUUCUUGAUGUAACCUACAUUUCAAUAAUUUUGGUACACGUUACAAAUGGAGUAGGAGAUGACUAUUAAGGUUUAAACUAAUCUUUUAAGAUGUGAAUUUAACCACUACUCUUUUAUAUUUUAUAUGUAUAAACGUUGGAAUUUAUCAAUAUCCUACUGAAUAUAUUUAUGAUUCACCUACAUUUAAAUCAUUUUAGUAAUGGUUGAUUGAUUCUUAGUUUAAUUAGCAUGAGUAUUGGUGUCAAUGCAAGAAAACGUGAAUUUAAGAAAACGUGAAUUUAAGUGCGUUGAAGUAUAUUAUUAUUUUUAUUUAUGAGCUAAAAAUUAAAAUUCAAUUUUGAAAGGAAUAUAAAGACACAUGAAGCUUGUAUUUUUUUUUUUAAUAAUGAAUCGUCAUACGAAAUCUAAAGGAUUCACAUGAAACUGCUGAAAACCAAAACAAAGGUUGAUACGGAACAUUAAAAGGGAGCAUACUCAUAGCUCCGCCAUUCCCCUUUGUCACUGCUUACAAUAAUUGUUCAUUUGUUUGGAAUUCCAUUGCUAGAACUUGAAAAAAUGUUCAAAAUAAUAUUUGUUACGUUGUAGUAAAUAGAAGAGGAACGAGAUUUUUUUUAAUUGCGGGAGUUUAUCCUCUAAUAAAAAUGUCCAAACACAACAAAUUUAUUUAUUUUUCUUAAUAAUUUGAUAUGAUAAAUCUUAAAUUAUAAAAUUUUAUCAGAUUGUAACAUAAUCUAUCUCCAAGGAUCAAAUUGCUCAUCAUUUAUUAUAAUUUUAAUAUAUAAACAUAUACUUCUUUCUCAAAGCUAAGGUUUCUUCAUUGCUAUAUAGAUUUAUAUUAUCAAUUCUUUAUUUUCUUCCCAGUUUGAUUCCUUCAUCAAAUUUCUAUGAAAUAAUAGUUUUUUUUUUUAAAAAGUUUUGGUCAUUUAAUAAUCAACACAGUUCACUACAUAGAGAGUUCAAUCACACAAGUUCAUUCAGAUUUGAAUAAAAAGAGCCUAAAUCAACCUUUCAACACCUAAAAUCGAAGCUAGAAAAACUAGCAGCAAUAACAGCAAUAGGAUCUUCAUAAGACAAGCUCACGAGAGCCACAAAAACAUCAUUUCACAAAAACUAAACCCCAAUCAAGCCUUUAGCAACAAAGGCAACUUUUGAUCCGUAUGUAUGGUUUAAAUUAUGUUUUGAUUACCGAACAUUAAAUAGUUACGAUAUGAUCACUAAUUGUCACAUCCAAAAACCGAGUUAGUAGGAAUUGGGUUAGUGAACUAAGAGUGGUCAUGCCCUAUUUUAAAAUAAGGGUAGUAAUAGUUGUAACAAGUAGUUUAAUUUGUUUGAGCGGUUAAGUAUUCUAAAUGUAUGCUUGAGAUUGUGUUUGAUUCUCUUUAAGAAUUUAUUUAUUAAUUUGAUCCCAUAUCUGAUUUGGUAUGUAUAGAUUAUCUUUAAUUUUUGUAUUUUAUUUACAUGAAUGAACCUGUAAUUGGUUCAAUGGUUAAAACUUAACAUCCCUUCUGCUCACCAGUUUAAAUCAUGUCGUGUGCAGAAGUAGAAUUAUUUUUACUUCUGUCUUGCUGUGCCGUCCAUGCUGCAGAAUAUGAGUCAAACUCAAAUUCUUAGUAACUUGAUUAAGUUAAUAUCUAAUGGGAUAAUAUAGUUUUUUUUUUUUGGAGGAAGAUAUCUCCUAAUUUUUCUCCUAUUAUGUUGUCCACCUUCAAGCAAUCGGCUGCUUUCCCCUUGUCGAUCUUGCUCUCCAAUUUGGAAUUCAACGUCGAAUUUAUUUGCUAGCUAGACAUAUUGCUCUUCAAAAUCUGUCGAUUGGCUUUUAAAAUUACACCGCCAAAUUUCCUUUGUUGUCCACUAAAUCUUUGUACCGAUUAGCAUCCAAAUUAUAUUGCUCUUUUACUGCCAUAGUCUUCGUUAAUACCCCUUAAAUUGUGGGUCCAUUACAUCCAAUUUAUACUUGCACUGUUUGCAGCACCAUGUAUCUCCAAAAUAAUUGCUGCAAUUAUUGUUUACAUCCUUGCUAUAGCCUCCCUCAAUUUCACCGUAUAAUUGUUGCCUUGUUGCAUUGUUUACCAAAUGAGUAGCGGCUGUUUUUUUUUUUAAUUGUUAUUUGGUGGCCAUUCGAUUCAAUUUUUGGUGCAUCGAAUACUUCCAAUUUGUUGCCAUGAACCUUACUUUGCAUCGUUUCACUCCCAUUUUCACCCCUCAAUAAUUUGUUGUUCAUUCUUGCCAAAUCAUUGAUGUUUUCCGUCAGUUGCAGCUUCAAUCUUGCUGAAGGGCUUGAAAAGAGGGCAUCAAGUUCUUCAAUUGGUUGCUAUGAAGACGUGUUUCCCUAGGUUGUUGCCUCUUCUGGAUUCGAUUAUAGUUGGUGUGUUCUUAUUUGGUUAUUUAGGUGAAGUUCGUGUGGCAAAUGACCCUCGGGUAAAUUGAAUGCAUUGGAAGCCAUUUCAUUUUUGGAACGGAGAGUGUUGUUGUUUUGCCAACAUCCCAGGAACGAUCAGGUGUGUGUCUCUAACUCGAAAACUCGUAAAAUUGUGCAAAACCAAAAUCGCCACACAGCUGUGUGCAUGAUCAUGUGUAUGGUUGUGUGUCACAUGGACGUGUGUCUAGCAAUGUGUCUGGCCAUAUGGGUCACACGGGCAUGUGUUUGGGUGUGUGGGCCACACGGGCUAUUCAAGUAAGGGUGUGUGGGCCCAUUCCGAGCAAGUUUAGUUAGGGCAAUGUUUGGGGUCGAUAGUUCAAAAUUUAGCGAUAUUUUUGAAAUUGUUAAAUGAUGUUUUUGGUUAUAUAACAUAUUAUGAGUUUUAACAAAUAAAAUAUGUACAAUUAAUUAUUUAGCGUUAAUCAAUUAUGUUUAAUAUAUGUUUCGAAACGUGAUUAACUGACGAUUGAGAAGUACUAAAAUGCUCAUUGAUUCUGAAUCUAAGGUAAGUGCACUUAUUUGAAUUUUGUAUUUGUUGUAUGAUAAUGAAAUGUGUUAUGUUCUAACACUCAUGUUUUAUAAAAUCAUGACAUGAUUUUGUUUAUGUUAGUCUAAUCUCCUAAUAAGAGAAAAAUUUCUGAAAUUACUACAUUUGAUUGCAUGUUAAGCAUGCCUAUUGUUCUAAUUAUGUUUUUGUAUGUCAUACCACAUAACAUGGGGUUGGGACGAUAUUGAAAUGAUGAAGAUUUUGACAGUAUAUCUACAAUUUUGGUGGCUUGACUAUGUAUUUGUCUGUUCUGGCAGCUUUUCUACACUCUCUGGUGGCUUGACCAUAAUUUUUGUGUGUUAUCAAAUGGAUGAGUUCUAGGGAAUUCUUUUAUGGUGUGUGAAGGAGUUGGGUAGGAACAUUUUCUGAAAAUUUUGCAUUGAUUUCUGAAAACUUUGCAUUGAAAUAAUCAUGCAUUCUGAAUUUUUGAGAAAAUGAAUAUUAUAAAAUUCUCUAUGAUAUUUUGAUUUGUUUAUUACAUUAUUUGUAUUUAUGCUUGAGUUAUGACUCACAUUGAGCUUUUUGGCUCACUCUGUUUGUUUAAUAUUCAGGUAAUCACUAUAGGUUUUUAAUUAGAAAAUGAAUUAAUGAUUUAAAUUGCAAUUAACCUGAGGUCUAAAACAACAAUUAGACCAUUUAAAAAAUGCAAUAGUAGACAGUUGGAUUAGCCAUAUCAUUAACAUAAUUAAAUUAAGAUUUAAUUAACUUAAAACAUGUUUAAUUAAAACUAAUUAUAUGUAUAUACAUAUUGGAGUUAGUGGGGGGGAAAAUGAGAACAUCUACUUCUUCUUUCCCAAACACCGAAACUUAAGAAAGAAAAACCUAGGUUGGAUCUUGAAGCUUUCAACCAAGAAUUUGCAAGUGCAAUUUAGUCAUUUAUUAUAAUUUUUAUGUUUUUGAGAUCAUGGGAGCUUGAUUUAGCUAGCCUAUGUGCCAAUUUGUAAAACCGUUAAAGUUUUAGGAAGUUCCCAUUGUUGAUUUCUUGAAGUUUGGAAUGUUAAAUUGUUAAAUUUUAAGCUUAGAUAUGAAAAAGGACUACAUUAUAAAGCUUAAUUAAUAGUUUCGUACAUUAGGGACUAAAAUGAAUAAAUUUUAAAAUUGAGAGUAGGAAUAAGAAAUAAGAGGUCUCUAAUGGGUAAUAGUGAAAUUGAAAUUCAAUUUGGAGCCGUAAAUUGAAAGUUAGAUUAGUCUCGAUUUUAGGGACUAAAUUGAAUAAAUUGAAAAAAUUUAAUAAUUGAAUAAUUUAUUAUAAAUUGGUUGAAUAUUGGUAAUUUUAUAUUUUUAUGUUAAUUCCUAGCUAACAUCAACCCAGUUUCAUCGAGAGGGAAAGGAAAAUCCAAACCGUUGACGAGUAGCUCAAAAUUUCCAAUUUGUAAUUCUGUGAUUCAAGAACCUUUUAUUUUCUACAUAUUCAUAUCAUUCUUCAUUAUAUGGAAUUGGAGGUGAGUAUCGAUGAUUAUUUGAGCUUAAAUGAUGCAAUCUAGAUUAAAUAUCAAAGUAGGGACUAAAUUGAAUAGAAUAGAGAAUUUCAUGACUUGCUUGGUAUAUGCAAUUGGUAUGAAAUUGAGCUGGAACACGUUGAAUUACAUAUUAAAUUGAUUAUUGUUUUCUAAAAUUAGCAUGUUAAAGCAUAAAUUGAAUGGCAUAAUGAAUUGGAAUUUGGUUACCCUAUUAGCUAUUCAGACUAUGUCGGAUAUUGUUGGCAUGCCAUAAGGAUCGAGUAUUGAGUAAAGCCACCAUUUUAAGGCAAUCUGAGUGGUAAACAUUAUUUAUUGAGUCAUCAUUUUCGGGCAACCCGGGGUGACAAAUUAAUUGAGUUGAGAAAACCAUUAUUGUUGAGUAAUCAGGGGUGAUAUUAUAUUUUGAUAUAGCGUCGUUGUUGUCGGGCAACCUGAGGUGAUAGAUCUGUGUAUCAAUAUCGAGUCUGUGUCUAGUUAAUAUGGUUAAUAAUAAAAGAAUUGAUUAAAUGAUAAUGAAAUAAAAUGUUGUUGUAAUAUGAAUUUUGAUAUUAUUCGAUUGAUUUAAGAAUGCCCUGGGGGGCCGAAUAUGUAUGAAAGAGCUAUCAAGCUCGAAAAUAAUUUGAAGAGUUCAAGAGAAUAGGAACUUAUGAAUCAAAUGCUAAUAAAUUGAAUGUUAUAUGAGAAAAUAGUAUAAAGAAUCAUAAUGUUAAAAUGAAUAUGAGCUUAGACAUAUGAAAUGAAUAUAAAUUUUCAUGAGUUAGACUAUGAUAUGAAGGUAUGCAUUGCAUGAAUACUAUUGAGAAUUUUACUCAGCGUACGAUUUAUUUUUCCGUGUGCAAGUUAAAUUCAGUUCAAGAUUCUCAAGCAUCAACUUCAGCAUCCAAAUGGUUAAUAUCUUAGUUGAAAUGGUAUAAUGUUAGAUAUGCUAAUAAUCUUAUUGAUAUUGGUGUGAAUGUUUGAGUUAAAUUGAAUUGCAUUAGGGAUUUGUUUUAUUGGAAUGGAACAUUUGCAAAUUGAGAGUAAAGUCUAUACAUAUAUAAUUAUGUCUUGAAAUGAUGUUAAGGUAAUACAUACGAUAGUUGAAUGUCAUUUGGAUAUAUGGAUAGUUUUGGACCGGAAGUAUUUGAUGGUUAGAACGUGAUAUUAUGUGAUUAGAAAGUGUUAUGACUUAAUAUGGAACUCACUAGGAUUGUCCAUUUGGCUAAAAAUAAGGUAGAAGUUGGUUACGCAUUGGUGUAUUUAAAACUAUAGGUUUUGAGAAACUAUAAUUGCAAAAAUCGUAUGUGACGUCAUGACGUCAACCAUUUCUCGUCGUGACGAGGGUUGGACUCCAAGCUACAAUGUGACUAUGAACCCCGUCAUCCCGACGAGGCCAAGUUAGUAUGUCACAUUGCGACAAGAAACUAUCUCACGUCGUGACAUCAACUCUAUAAUUUGAAUUCUUUACAAUUCAGUACUGGUUUGAUCUCGGAUUAGCUUAUGACUUUUUGUAAGCUUGUAUAAUACCCGGACAUGUUUAUUUAUCAUGUUGUUUACUUAUAAUGUUCAUAUUGAAUGUUAAAAUGGAUUGAAAUUGUGUCUAUUUUUAUCGUAUUUGCUUUGGCAACGAAUGAGAUACACUAUAGUUCGAACUCGGUGAUCGGGUCAAGUAUAGAGUGUUACACCUACAUAACUUUUCCUCGUUAUGUAAAAAUGCGAUACUCUUAGUCACGUCAUGUUAUCACCUAAAAUUUUUUUUACAGAAAAAUAUAAUUUUUAAAUGAUUAUAUGAUAUAAUAUUAAAGUACUACAACAUCACAUAGGUCUAAACUGAAAAAAUUUACCAAAUUUCAAAACUAAUGUGAAGAAAGAAAUGAAUGAUUAAAUAAAAAAAAAGAUAAACUUUUAUCCAAAAACAAAAGCAAUAGCAAUUUCAACUUUGGAAUUUUUUUCUUCCCUAUAGGCCUAAGAAAUUAGGUGAUAGCGCCUGUUUUUUACUUCCACUUGGAUUAAUUAUUUGCCAAAUUAAUGAGGUAUGUGUUUUUUUUUGGUGAAAUGAAAAAUAUCAAUUACAUAUAGCAACCAUUCGUUUUAUCAACUUGUAAUAAAUCCAAAAUAUCCUUAGGAGCCUCAUCCAUAACUUGUAAACUUGAUUUCCAACUUAAACUGAGUUUAGCAAGACGAUCUGCUACCAAAUUGUGAUUUCUUGGAAUGUGCUUUAUUCUCCACUCCCCUUCUGAAUGCAAAAUACGAAGAGUUCUUCGGAUCACAGUGAUCCCUGAAUCUUCCAAAUCCAUAACAGACAAGAUCUGGGCAACUUCAAGAUUAUCUGUCAUAAUAGUGACUCGUUUAUAGCCCUUACUAAGUAAAAUGAGGAUCCCAUCAAGAAUAGCCCAAACUUCGGCUUCGAACGGAGAGCACACACCAAGGAACCGGUUAAAACCCACUAUCCAAUUUCCAUCACGAUCUCGAGCCACAAGAUGAAACAUUAUCAUUUUUUGUAAAACAUUAUUUUAAAAUUUUAAAAAUAAAUGUUUUAAUUUCACUUAUAAAAUUAAAAACAAAACACCUUUAAUAUCUAUAUUAUAUAUAAAGAUUUUAAUUAAAUUUAUGUCACUCAUAAUUGAUUCUCAAUUAAAUUAUUAAAUUAUCAAUAUAUUUUUAUUUUAAUAAAAUAUAAAUAGUAAUUGAAGGUUAUUUUUAUCCUCUGAACAUAAUAAAAUUUGAAAUCAACACAUCAAGUCAAUUCAGCCAAUAUAGUAGGUGUGUCAUGAGUCAUAUUUUAAUGUUAAAUAAUAAGUUAGUUUUUAAAGAAAAAAAAAAGACUAGGCUCGUGGCACGACUUCUAUUACGUUUCUCUUUUCUGCAAAAAGAUUCUCCCGCUUUCGAUAUUCUAUUUUAUAAAAAUAACGAUGGUAGGAUAUUAAAGCCAUUUUUUUAUUAAAAAGUUUAUUUUUAACCUUUUAUUUCAAGUCACAUUGGUUGUUUAGGCUUUAUUCUAUCAUUAUAAUUCACUAAAAAAAACUUUAUUACUAUCAGCUGCUUCACCAGCCACAAUCAUCUCCACCAAAAGACCUCCCUAUAUACACUUUUUAAGAACCAUGCACCAUAUUUCAAGCCCCUCAUCUCAAUCACUACAGCUCUCCACUCUAUAAGAGUGCACCAUAUUUCAAGCCCCUCAUCUCAAUCACUAACAACUCUCCACUCUAUAAGAGUGAACCGCUCCAAACCUCCACCAUCUUCUCUAUUUUGUUGAAAUUUUAUAUCAAUAAUUGAUGUGUUGAGCAUGAACUCACUCUUGAUAUUUAGAUCUAGUAAAUAAAAUGCGACUCUUCCAACAAUUGAUCAAAAUUACUUUGCGUUCACAUGAUAAAAUUUGAUCUAAAACAGGUUAGUCUCUUCUAUUCAACAUGUUAAAUAAACUUAAAUGAAAGUUAAGAGUCAUGUAAGUGAAAGGUCAAGAGUUGAAAGGUCUAGAGUUAUAUUGUUUUUUUAAUGGGUUUAAAUUAGUAGUUUUUUGUUUAGGAAAAUGAAAGGUCAAGAGUCAUUGGUUUAUGGUUAUUAUUAGAUUUUAAUAUUUUCAAUUUUUGUUGUUUUAAAUGGUAAACUAUAGCCUAUAAAUAGUUUGUAAGCUUUUGAUUUUAUAUGAGAGAACAAUUUUAUAUUGAGAACAUUUUCCACAAUUUGGUAUCUGAGCUAUGGAGAGUGUGACUAGUAAUGUGCCAUUGCCUCGACUAACAAAGGUGAACUAUGAGAAUUGGAGCAUCCAAAUGAAAGCUCUUCUCGGGUCUCAAGAUGGUUGGGAGGUGGUCCAAGAAGGUUUCGUAGAACCGACAACUACUGCGGGAUAUACGGCGGCUCAAAACAAGGCGUUGAAAGAAAUGCGGUCGAAAGAUAAGGCGGCAUUGUACAUGUUAUUUCGAGCCGUUGAUGAGUCGGGCUUUGAGAAGAUUGCAAGUGCGACAACUUCAAAAGAAGCGUGGGACAUUUUAGCAAAGGUGUACAAAGGAGCCGACCGAGUUAAACAAGUCCGACUUCAAACUCUUCGUGGCGAGCUGGAAGGCAUGAAGAUGAAGAAAUCAGAAGGUGUCUCCGACUACAUCACGCGUGUUCAAACCGUGGUGAACCAACUCAACCGAAACGGAGAAGCGUUAACUGAUGCACGAGUUGUGGAGAAGAUUUUGAGAUCGUUAACUGACAGUUUCAAAAAUGUCGUAUGUGCCAUAGAAGAGUCAAAAGAUCUAGCAACGCUUACAGUCAAUGAACUCGCCAGUUCUCUCGAGGCACAUGAACAACGUAAGAAGAAGAAGAAAGAGGAGACACUCGAGCAAGCACUUCAAACCAAGGCAUCAAUCAAAGACGAAAAGGUUCUCUAUUCUCAAAGCUUUCGAGGUAGAGGCCGUGGUCGUGGAGAUCGAGGAAAUGGUCGUGGUGGAAAAGGUCGUGGUCAAGAAGGGAAUUAUGAAGAGAAGGAGCAUUCAAACCAACAAAAUUGGCGGGGAAGAAGACGUGGUCGUGGAAGAGGCGGAUGGUCGAAUUAUUCCAAUGUCGAGUGCUACAAGUGUGGCAAAUAUGGUCACUAUGCGAAGGAUUGUAACUCUGAUAAGUGUUACAAUUGUGGUAAGGCGGGACACUUCGCGAAAGAAUGUCGCUUCUCGAAAAAGGUGGAAGAGACAACCAACCUAACCACGGAAAAUGAGGAGGCAAAAGAAGGUUUUCUCUUGAUGGCACACAACGAAGUCAACACCAACAACAACAUGGUGUGGUACCUUGACACGGGUGCAAGCAACCAUAUGUGUGGGCUCAAGCACCUAUUCAAAGAGAUGCAAAAGGUUGAAACGGGACAUGUGUCAUUUGGAGAUGCAUCGAAGGUUGAGGUAAAAGGCCAAGGUACCAUUUGUUAUUUACAAAAUGAUGGGUUAAUUGGGUCAAUCCAUGAUGUGUAUUACGUACCAGACCUCAAGAGCAACAUUUUGAGUAUGGGGCAACUCAUGGAAAAAGGUUAUUCGGUACUUAUGAAAGAUCGGGUGUUACACUUGAAAGAUAAGGAAGGGUGUUUGGUCGCUCGAGUUGAAAUGGAGAGAAAUCGCAUGUUCAGGUUGAAUCUGAGAAGUGUUCGAGGAAAAUGUUUGCGAGUUGAUGUUGAAGACAAGGCGUUACUAUGGCAUCUCCGUUUUGGCCAUCUACAUUAUGGUGGUCUAAACAAGUUGGCAAAGAAGAAUUUGGUGCAUGGGCUACCAGACAUGGACUAUGAGGGAAAAUUUUGUGAAGAAUGUGUGCUCGGUAAGCAUGCGAGAACUUCGUUUCAAAAUAAGGCAGAAUAUCAGGCUAAGCAACUUCUCGAAUUGAUUCAUACCGACAUAUGUGGACCAAUCACCCCUGAAUCUUUUAGCGGUAAAAGGUAUUUCAUUUCUUUUAUCGAUGAUUUCUCACGAAAAACUUGGGUUUAUUUUCUUAAAGAAAAAUCCGAGGCAUUGGAGGUGUUCAAAAAGUUCAAAGUGAUGGUGGAAAAAACAACUGGUAGACACAUCAAAUCUGUACGAUCUGAUAGAGGUGGUGAGUAUACUUCGACGUCUUUCAUGGAAUAUUGUGAGGAGCAAGGCAUAAGACGAUUCCUAACCGCACCGUACUCUCCCCAACAAAAUGGUGUGGCCGAGAGGAAGAAUCGGACUAUUCUCGACAUGGUUCGAUCAAUGCUCAAGAGCAAGAAGAUGCCGAAGGAAUUUUGGGCAGAAGCCGUGCAAUGUGCCAUCUAUGUGCAAAAUCGAUGUCCACAUGCGAAGUUGGAUGAUCAAACACCACAAGAAGCUUGGAGCGGACAAAAACCAUCAAUUUCUCAUCUUAAAGUAUUCGGUAGUGAGGCCUAUGCACAUGUGCCGGAUCAGCGAAGAACGAAGCUCGAAGACAAAAGUAAAAUGUUUAUUUUUAUUGGGUAUGAUGAGAAAACAAAAGGAUACAAGCUACUUGACCCGAUAAGUAAGAAGGUUGUGGUAAGUCGUGAUGUACGAUUCAAUGAAGCAAGCGAGUGGGAUUGGAAUAACUCAACGGAGGUUAUCACCAAAGAUGGAGGAUCAUCAAUCGCUACACCAACAAUCAUACCGACAAAUCCUGAAACUACCGAUGAUGAAGAUGAACCGCAACAACCAAAAAUGCGAAGUUUGCAAGAUUUGUAUGAUUCAACAAAUGAGGUACAUAUUGUAUGUCUUUUGGCAGAUUCUGAGAUUAUAAGUUUUGAAGAGGCUGCGCGGGACAAGAAGUGGCAAACUACUAUGGAUGAGGAGAUUAAAGCAAUUGACCGCAACAACACAUGGGAGUUAACAGAAUUGCCAAAAGGAAGUCAACCCAUUGGUGUGAAGUGGGUGUUCAAAAGAAAGAUGAAUGCUCAAGGCGAGUUAGAACGGUACAAGGCGCGACUUGUUGCAAAGGGAUAUAAGCAAAAGGAGGGGAUCGAUUAUGAUGAGGUAUUUGCUCCUGUUGUAAGAAUGGAGACAAUCCGGCUGCUCAUUGCACAAGCGGCACAAUUUAAAUGGCCAAUAUUUCAAAUGGAUGUCAAGUCGGCAUUCUUGAAUGGUGUGCUCGAAGAAGAAGUCUACAUCGAACAACCACCCGGGUACAUGAAAAAUGGAGAGGAGAAAAAGGUGCUGAAAUUAAAGAAGGUACUUUACGGGUUGAAGCAAGCACCGCGGGCAUGGAAUACUCGUAUCGAUACAUACUUCAAGGAGAAUGGGUUCAAACAAUGUCCUUAUGAACAUGCCCUCUACGUGAAGAAGAAUGGAGGUAAUAUGUUAUUUGUUGCUCUUUAUGUCGAUGACCUCAUUUUUAUGGGGAACAAUGGUAAGAUGAUACUGGAUUUUAAGAGCAAAAUGACACAAGAAUUCGAGAUGACAGAUUUGGGUUUAAUGAAAUUUUUCCUUGGUUUGGAGGUUCGACAAGAAAGGACAGGUAUUUUUGUGUCAUAGGAGGCAUAUGCAAAGGAAAUUUUGAAGAAGUACAAGAUGACACAUUGCAACUCGGUAUCAACACCAAUGGAACCAGGUGUAAAACUCUCGAAAUUCGAUGGAGGAGAACGAGUCGACGCAAGUAAAUACCGAAGUUUGGUGGGAAGCCUUCGCUAUCUCACUUGCACAAGGCCUGACAUUUCGCUAAGUGUUGGCAUUGUAAGUCGGUUCAUGGAGGAGCCGGUUUAUUCACAUUGGAAGGCGUUGAAGCGAAUCCUACGGUACAUUCAAGGAACGGUGUCAGACGAGUUAUUUUAUUCAAAUAUGGAAGAUUACAAGUUGAUUGGGUAUUUCGACAGUGAUUGGUGCGGAGACUUAGAUGAUCGGAAAAGUACAUCGGGAUAUGUGUUCUUUAUGGGUAACACAGCAUUUGCUUGGCUUUCAAAGAAGCAACCAAUCGUGACACUAUCGACAUGUGAAGCUGAAUAUGUGGCAGCAUCUUGGUGUGUGUGUCACGCUAUAUGGCUCAGAAAUUUGUUGGGUGAGUUGGAGCAACAACAACUUGGUGCAACUGAGAUACGAGUUGACAAUAAAUCAGCGAUUGAGUUGGCAAGGAACCCAGUGAAUCAUGAGAGAAGCAAACACAUUGACAUUCGUUUUCAUUUCAUCCGAGAUCAUGUAAAGGAAGGAAGUGUGAAAUUAGUGCACGUGGCAAGUCGGGACCAAGUCGCGGAUAUCUUUACAAAACCGCUACCGAUGAUACUCUUCGACAACUACAAGAAAUUAAUCGGCAUGAAGGAUGGCAGAAGCAUUUAAGUUUACAGGGGAGUUUUGUUAAAUAAACUUAAAUGAAAGUUAAGAGUCAUGUAAGUGAAAGGUCAAGAGUUGAAAGGUCUAGAGUUAUAUUGUUUUUUUAAUGGGUUUAAAUUAGUAGUUUUUUGUUUAGGAAAAUGAAAGGUCAAGAGUCAUUGGUUUAUGGUUAUUAUUAGAUUUUAAUAUUUUCAAUUUUUGUUGUUUUAAAUGGUAAACUAUAGCCUAUAAAUAGUUUGUAAGCUUUUGAUUUUAUAUGAGAGAACAAUUUUAUAUUGAGAACAUUUUCCACACAACAUACCCACUCACUAUUUUCACCCCUUUAAAUGCAAAGCUUGAUGACUUUGUACCUGUGUUGGGUUGGUCUCUUGCCAAGCAGCGAACUCCACUAUAUUUCGAGCUAUUAUUAAUACAUACGUAUGUGUAAAAAGAAGGACCCUUCUCCAUAUUCGAGAGCUCUGCAUAUGAGAGAGCUCCAUCAUGUGUUACUGUGUGUUGGUUUCUAACUUAGCAAACAAAGUUUAAAAACAACUUAGAUGAAUGUUUUAGAUGUUUGAAAGAUUAAAACAGGAGCAAGAACAAGCAAAAGUUGAAUGAGCAAAGUGUUUUUCUCAUUACCUGAAUAAGUGCAUGGUUACAUACAUAAAUAGAACAAAAGCUACAUAGAAAGAAAACAAAGCUUGCUUGUGCAAGUAACUAAAGGUUUACAUCAACAAAAUGACAACCUAAUUUGACUACUAAAUCAGCUAAGCACACAUUUUAACCUUAGCUGAUCAAAGCAAAUAAUGAUUACACCAUAGACUAACAAAAGUCAACUAAACAAACAAGGCUUGUCGAAUUGCACAAUGGAUUUUAACAUGCUUCAGCCGAGUUUCUGGUUUCAUGCAUGCAACGUAGGUUUUGCAUGGAUUCUUAAACUUUGCUGCUGUAGUUGCCACCUUUUAAACACUCCUCCUUGGCUACAAAGCAGCAAACUCCGAUUUUCUUCUUCAAAUAUUCAAACCUUGAAGCAGCCAAUGGUUUGGUUAAUAGAUCAGCAAGUUGAUCUUUUGAGCAGCAGUGAACUAAGCUUAUCUCCUUGGACAUUUCAGCUUCUCUCACAAAAUGAUAUCUAAUUUUAAAAUGAUUGGUCUUACCAUGAAAAACUAGAUUUUUGGCAAUGGCUACAGCCGAUUGGUUGUCAACCUUAAUCACAGUGGCCUCCUUUGGAUCAGCAUUCAGAUCACACAAUAUUUUCCUAAGCCAAAUGGCUUGAUUUACAGCAGAAGCAGCUGCGAUGUAUUCUGCCUCAGCAGUGGAUUGAGCCACUGUCUGUUGCUUCUUCGAGCUCCAGCAGAAGACACUUGAGCCAAGGGUGAAGAAGUAGCCUGAUGUGCUCUUCAUGUCAUCAGCAGAACCAGCCCAAUCACUGUCUGAAUAUCCCAUUAGUCUCAGCUCCUCAGCCCUUUCAAACUUCACUCCACAACUCAGAGUCCCUUUGACAUACCUUAGGACCCUUUUUGCUGCUUUAAAAUGUGCAACUGUGCAGCAAUGCAUGAAUCUCGAUAGAAGACCAACAGCAUGCAUGAUGUCAGGUCUAGUUGCAGUCAAAUAGAGCAGGCAGCCAACCAAGCUUCUGUAAUUCUUUUCAUCCACUCGAUCUUCAUCUCCUAGGCUAGUGAGUUUUUCUCCUAAAGCCACAGGAGUGCUAGCAGGCUUGCAGUUUGUCAUGCAAAACCUGCUCAAAACCUUCGAUGCGAAUGCCUUCUGGCCUAUGAAAAUACUUUGUUCAUUUUGUUUCACUUCCAUGCCAAGGAAGUAUGUCAUUAAUCCAAGGUCAGUCAUUUCAAACACAGUUUGCAUUUGCUUCUUAAAGGUUUCAAUUUCCUCCCUUUUGCAGCCAGUGACCAGUAAAUCAUCAACAUACAAUGAAACAAUUAGCAAAGUUUCAUUACCUUCCUUCUUAACAUAGAGAGUAGGCUCACUGGUGCUCUUUGUGAACCCGAGCCUUGUCAGGUAGGUAUCCAUUCGAUCGUACCAGGCCCUUGGAGCUUGCUUGAGACCAUACAGGGCCUUUUUGAGCUUGUAGACCUUCUCUUCUUCUCCUUGAACUUCAAAGCCUUCAGGUUGAUCUAUGAAGAUUUCCUCCAUGAGAAAUCCAUUUAAAAAGGCUGAUUUGACAUCCAGUUGAUGCACCUGCCACUGUUUCUGGGCUGCUAAGGCAAACAACAUUCUUAUAGUGUCCAGCCUUGCAACAGGAGCAAAGGUUUCAAAGAAAUCGACUCCCUGCUGUUGGCUAUACCCUUUCACAACUAAUCUAGCUUUGUGUCUGUUCAGUGAUCCAUCUGCAUUAUAUUUGAUCUUGAACACCCAUUUAACUCCAAUGAUCUUCCUACCUUCUGGUCUAUCAACCAGCUCCCAGGUUUCAUUCUUUUGAAUCAUCCUUAGUUCAGCUUCCAUAGCCUCUUGCCAGCAUUUCUCUUUCGAGGCUUCAGCAUAGCAGGAUGGCUCAACCAUGGUCACAGCACAUCUUUCAUAGAUGUCUGCCAAUGUUUUGGUGCCCCUAACAGGCAUAUCAUCAAAAUCAUCCAUAGCUUCAUUUUCAACUUCAGCAUGUUGGUGAUCAAGGUCCUACAAGUCUUCUUCAGCUAAGCUUGCAUCUGUCCCAUUCCACUUCCAAUAGCUUCCUUCAUUGAACUUGACAUCUUUGCUUACAAUAACCUUUUUUGUUGAUGGAUCAAAGAUCCUAUAACCCUUCCUCACACUGCUGUAGCCGACAAAUACCCCUGGCACAGACUUUCUUUCCAGCUUGGUUCUCUUCUCUGCUGGCACAAGUGCAUAGCAUAAGCAUCCAAACACUUUCAAGUGUGACACGAUUGGUUUCUGCCCGAACCAGACCUCAAAGGGUGUUUUACCUUUGAAUGCUUUAGUUGGUAGUCUAUUUAGUAAGUAGACAGAUGUGUUUACUGCCUCAGCCCAGAAGUUGUUUGGCAUUUUGGCCUCAAACAGUAGGCAUCUGGCCAUAUCAAGAAUAGUCCUGUUUUUCCUCUCACAAACACCAUUUUGCUGUGGUGUGUAGACAGUGGUCAGUUGGUGUAGGAUGCCAGCAUCAUCACAAAUCUUCUGGAACCUCUGAGACACAUACUCGGCUCCAUUUUCUGACCUUAGGCUCUUGAGUUUGUUGUUGGCUUGGUUUUCAGCCAAAGCCUUGAACUUGUGAAAGAAGUCAGUGACAUCUGACUUUUGUUUCAAGAAGGUUACCCAACAAAACCUGGUGCAGUCAUCAAUGAACAAGGCAAAAUACUUGCAGCCAUUUAGUGAGCUGGUCUUCAUAGGUCCACAGAUGUCAGUGUGAACCAACUGAAGUUUCUCUUGGGCUCUCCAUGCCUUGUUGACUGGAAAGGGCAGUCUGGUUAGCUUGCCAAGCUGACAGACUUCACACACCUCUUUGUUUGGCUCGAACUUAGCCAUAUCUUCAACCAAAUUCAGUUUUUGCAUUUGCCCGAGUGAGUUGUAGUUCACAUGCCCCAUUCUUUUGUGCCACAAACUUGCCUCAUCAGUCUGAGCUGCAUAUGCUCUUGCUUGCAACUGAUUUACAUCCACAAUGAAGGUUCUAUCUUGCAUAGCUACUUUUGCCAACACCUGGUCAGUAGCAUCUUUGAUUGUGCAGAUUUUGCCUUCAAACAGGAGAGAGUACCCUUUCUCCAGUAGCUGACCAACACUUAACAAAUUUUGGUCAAUGUCAGGUACAUAAAGAACUUCUGAAAUGGUUUUAAUACCUGACUUGGUGAAAAUCACUGCUUUGCCUUUGCCUUUAGCCUUGAGAAGCUCACCAUUUCCAAUUCUGACAUUGGAUUCAAAUGAGGUGUCAAGCUCCUUGAACAUGCUUUCCUCUGAGGCCAUAUGAUGAGUGCAUCCACUAUCGAUCAGCCAAAUUUUGCUGACUUUGCUCGAGCUUGCAAAGCAGGAGGCUGUGAAGACAUGUUCUUCCUGUGCCUCGAUGUCUUCAGCUACUUGAGCCUGAUUAUGAUUCUGUGACUGAGCUUUUGGUUUGUUCUUACACACUUUCUCAAUGUGACCAAGCUGUUUGCAGCCUCUACACUGAAUGUCAGGCCUGUACCAGCAAUAUUUCUCAAGGUGAGUUGUUCUUUUGCAAUGAACACAGGGUGGAAACUUCUUCUUGGCAGCUUCCUUCUUUCCUCUUUCUUUCUUUUCUGACCAAGGCUUCUUGCCUUUGUGAUUCGAGCUGAAGCUUGAGCUCUCUCUACUCCUAGCUUGAAAAGCUCCCUCAGAAUACUCCUCCAUUCUGUUUGCUCUUCUUUGCUCUUGAGCAUAGAGAGCAUUUAUCAGUUCUGUCAAGGGAAUGGCAGAUAAGUCCCUCGAAUCCUCCAGGAAAGAAAUCUUGGAUUCAUACUUAUCUGGCAAGGUUGUUAUGAUUUUCUCCACUACCCUCUGAUCACUAAAGUCAUCUCCAAGCAGUCUUAUGUUGUUGACAGUAGAAAUAAUUCUGUCAGCAUACUGCUUGAUGGUUUCUGAGUCUUUCAUUCUCAGAUUCUCAAAGUCCCUUCUCAAGUUGAUGAGUUGUUGCUGCCUGGUUUUGUCUGAGCCUUGAAACUCUUCCUUGAGUUUGUCCCAGGCCUCCUUUGGUGUGUCGCAGGCCAUUAUCCUUGUGAAGAUAGCAUCUGAAACUCCACUUUGAAGACAUGACAUGGCCUUGUACUUCUUUGCACAGUCUUCAUUAUACUGCCUUAUCUGAGCUAUCGUGGGAUUAGCUCUUAAGGGUGGUGGUUCUGUGUCAUUUUGGACAACAUUCCACAGGUCAUGUGCCUGUAGAUAUGUUUUCAUUUUGACAGCCCAUAUAUUGUAGCUUUCACCAGCAAACACGGGUGGAGGUGGUGGUGAGAAGCUCAUCUUCACGCAGCUUCCAAAAACCUGAGCAACAAAGAUAGUUCCUGCUUCUUUUCUUUCAAACACACAGCACACAACAAGAGGCCCUCAAAGACAACAGGCUCUCGAUACCAUUUGUUGGUUUCUAACUUAGCAAACAAAGUUUAAAAACAACUUAGAUGAAUGUUUUAGAUGUUUGAAAGAUUAAAACAGGAGCAAGAACAAGCAAAAAGUUGAAUGAGCAAAGUGUUUUUCUCAUUACCCGAAUAAGUGCAUGGUUACAUACAUAAAUAGAACAAAAGCUACAUAGAAAGAAAACAAAGCUUGCUUGUGCAAGUAACUAAAGGUUUACAUCAACAAAAUGACAACCUAAUUUGACUACUAAAUCAGCUAAGCACACAUUUUAACCUUAGCUGAUCAAAGCAAAUAAUGAUUACACCAUAGACUAACAAAAGUCAACUAAACAAACAAGGCUUGUCGAAUUGCACAAUGGAUUUUAACAUGCUUCAGCCGAGUUUCUGGUUUCAUGCAUGCAACGUAGGUUUUGCAUGGAUUCUUAAACUUUGCUGCUGUCGUUGCCACCUUUUAAACACUGUGGCUUUAUUGCUUGAAAACUCAUUGCUCCAUGCAAGUAAAUUUCUUUUAAUUGGAUUGCCUUGAAGUUCAUAUUUUGCUGUGUGAGUUUCAAAACAACACAUGCUGGACACUAUAAAUAUUUGAGCACACCACACACAAAUAUCUUUAUCUAUUCACAUAUUAAAAGUACAUGAUAUUAUCGAUACAUAAUAAAAACAAAAGUGCACACACACAUUGGCUUCCAAGAAAGAAGCACGGUUUUAUUUAGUUUCCUACGUACACACCCUGCCUGACUCAGAUCCUGUCGUGCCUUCCCAGUAGCAGUAGUUGCUCAAAUGGAAGAGCUGAGUGAUUCUUCUUUGGUUUGAAAGUUGAGACUAAUCAUGUAAAGAAUAAGAGUGAAAACACAUAGAAAGAGAGAGAUCAAAUUAAUCGAUAGUUAGAAAUUGCUGCUGCCUAAAAAUAAAACAAAAUGUCUGUCGCUGCGCCAAGGAUUAUAGUGCUGAAAUCCAAGGAGGAAUAUUUGGGCAUUAUCAAUGGAAAUGGAGUGGAUGAUGGGCAUCUCAAAAUUUCAUCGGCAACACAAGCUACAAGAUCAUAUGCAAAAUUUGAGGUGGAGGAGGCGGCUUCUGGACAUGGUUUGGUGCACAUAAGGAGCUGCGGAAACAACUAAUACUGGGAACGAGUCCAAAAGAAUCCGAUGGGGGGAAAUUCAGACAGCCAAUACUGGAUUGCUGCGACUGCCAAAAAGCGGGAGGAAGACCAAUCCAAGAGCUCCUGCACAUUGUUCAAGUUUAUCCCUGUGAACACUGCAGCAAAUACUGUCCGAAUUAUGCAUGUCCAGUCGAAAUGCCCUUUAUACCUUGGUACUAACCGCUACGUGUUGGCGAGCAACCACGUUUUCGACGGUAGUUCCGAUGAUAUCUUCACAAUCAUCAACGGGGAGACGCUGCUUGGUUUGCCAAGGUAUGUGGCAUUCAAAGGAGAUAAUACUCAUUAUCUUUGUCUUCGUCACAUGAAGGGUCGCCCAUAUUUGCAGUUUUCAUCUAAUGAUAUUAGCGACCCAAAUGUGACAAUGGAGGUUUUCGUAAAAAAUGACGGAAUGCUCCUCAUCAAGCCCGUUUCUUCCGAUAAUUAUUGGAGGGACAGCAUGGGCUGAAUUUGGGUAGAUUCCAACGACACCAGUGAUCGAAACACUUGGUUCCGCCCGUUAAAGUUAACGACAACACAAUAGCCCUCCUCACCCUUCGCAACAAUUACUUUUGUAAGCGCCUCACAGCCGAUGGAAAGGAUAAUUGCCUUGAUGCAUGCAUCCCCACCAUUACCCAAGAAGCCCAACUGUUGGUGGAAGAGCCAGUCAUGGAAAGGCAAAUUCAGGGUGUCAAAUAUGACCUUGAUAAUCGGAGGAUGCUUGAGGAGACUGUCAUGGUUAUGGGCGAGCAUACCCACAAAAACAGUAGCCCCCAUUCACAGUUUUAUGAAGUGAAAAUUUCUCUUCAAAAUACUGCCACUCGCACUUGGAAGGCUAAUCUUUCACUCAAGCUAGGACUGAAAGCCACCUUAGGUGUCCAACUUCCAUUAUUGGUUGAUGGGAAGACUGAACUAUCAACGGAACUUCAUGCAGGAUACGAGUUUGGAAAGAUCUAUACCGAUACCUCUAACAUGGAAUUCACCCACAAAGUUGAGGUGUCUCGCAUGAGUAAGAUGACCGCAAAACUGGUUUCAACACUUGGUAAGUACGAUAUUCCCUUCACCUACAUGCAAAAGGACACUCUUUAUAAUGGGAAAACUGUCAUAUAUGAUGUGCAAGAUGGCACUUACACCGGUUCUAAUUUCUACAACACCAGAUUCGAAAUCAAAGAAGUGCCGCUCAGCUCUUGAAUUUCAGAGCAACUAUACAAUGUUUGCUACUACGAGGGCAUCACAAAAUUAUAAUUAGAUGAUAGUGCUUGUUUGUUUGUUGUCCGUGUGUGUACUAAAUUAAAUAGACUGUGCGUGUAGAAUUCUGAGUUCGGUCAAAUAGGUGUACUCUUUUUCCAGUUUUUGUAUGUAUACAUAUAAAGAGUGGUUUUUCAAUGAGGCACCUUUAAAAAUAAUGUGUUUCCUUUGUGAAAGUCUAUGUAUGAGUGUGUGCAUCUACUAAAUUAAAUAAUGUUUGUAUUUCCUUCAUGCAGGCAGGUGUGUGUUCAUCUACUAAAUUAAAUAUUGAAUGCGUAGUUUCUUUUAAUUAUAUAUACAUUCAAUCCUAUGAUAAAUUUGUUAUAGUUGCAUAAAAUUUUAUGAUAAAUUGGUUAUAAUUGUUGUCGAACCUCCAAUAAUCAAACUCUUCUAACAUUCUCGAUAAUUAAGAUGAACACCAUUGGUUACUUCCUUUAUCGAUAAAUAAUCCUACAAGAAAUGGCUAAAAUUCAAUUUACCAAUAGCAUGAGACUCAAUUCUUGUAAGCAAAUACACAAACAAGAUUCAUUGAGACAAAAUCAUAUUAUCCACAUAAUAAUUAAUUUCAUACUAAUUUCAUCUUUGGAUCAAAAACAAGCAAGGAGUGAAAUACCACAAAGAGAAAGUGUACUUACUAAAAAAAUGGUGUAAUGGGCACGUGCUUUCUUCAACUGCCCAUAAAAAUCAUAUUCUGACUUUUCUAUGGAGAAUAUCUACCAAUAACUUCCAUGGAAUGAAUAAUCAGUCCGAAUACUAAAAACAACAAUGCUUUCGAAUAAGCAUAGGUAAUCAAAUGAAAUAAAGUGGCUCGAUAAGUCCCCAUACCUAGAGCUAACAUCAUAUAACCCAGUUGGGACAUUGUAGAAUAGGCUAAAUCCCUCUAAAUAUCUUUUUGAGCAAGGGAUAAAGUAGACCCUAACAAUACUAUUUCUAUACCUAUCAAAGAUUUUAGAUUCAUUAUGUAAGAUAUAACUAUAAAAAGAGGAAGAAUGCGGAGUACAAGAAAAAUUCACGCAGCUACCAUAGUAGCAACUUGUAUAAGAGGCGAAAUAGGAGUAGACCCUUCCAUGGCAUCAAGUAACCAUACAUGAAGAGGAAACUGUGCAGAUUUAGCAACUGCGCCGACAAAUAAUAAAGAGACACAUAGAUAACAAAUAAAAAAUGGAUCUCAUUAUUAUAAAUAAAAUUAUUAAAUAUUUCGAACAAAUCUUGAAAUUCAGAACUUCCCAUUAUCCAAUAAAAACAUAAAAGUUCCUAAUAAUAAAUCAAAAUUGCCUAUUUGAUUAGUUACAAACACUUUUUCACAAGCGUUUGGCAUAGCGGGUUGUAUAAUCCAAAAUCCUAUUAAUAGAUAAGAACACAUUCCAACUAAUUCCCAAAAAAUAUAAUUUUUUAUCAAAUUCGAACGACAUACACAACCAUGCUAUUCGCCACAAGUAUUAGAAUCAAUUGAACAAUUAAAUUCAAAUUGAUAAGACAUAUAUAUCAAGCUAUCUAAUAUGAGUUCUAUAUUCAACAAACUUGAAUAUUUAUAGUUAAAGCAAAAUAUAUACAAAUACCAAAGAAUAUUAAAAAAUUAAAAAUAAUAUAGAACCCACAAACUUAAAAAAUCAAAGCAUGGAAAAUUGUUUGAUUAACAAAAGAGUUUAGCAGCUCUUAAAUUGAAUUGAAGGACGUCUAGACCAAUAAGUGAUUCAGAGGCUUUUGCACUGGCAAUAGCUGGGGUUAAACAUUCGGAUACCUGUAAAGCAUGAUGGUGAGAGUGUUGAAGAGAAUAUUACCAUAGUUGUUUUAUUUCUGCUGCAAUGUAUUUAGUUAAUGAAAUUUUGCAGAGUUGCUUUUAUUGGCUUUGGUAGAGUUUAUUAUAUGCUACAAGUUUUUGUGGCUAAAAUGGCUUGGAUUCUCCAUGGCCUUUUUCUGUAAUUGUUAAUGAUUGAGAAAAAAAAAAGUAAUUCAGAGGAUGAAAACUCUUAAUAAUGAUAGGUUGGUAUUGGCUUGAGCUUUUAAUUCAGAGGAUGAAAACUCUUAAUAAUGAUUGAGAAUUUUUUUUUUUUGGUAAAAUAAAAUAGCUUUAAGCGACAUUGCUAAGAAAACGAUCAGUUCAUUUUACAACCAUUAUAAUCUGGUUGAACUAAAUCCCGUAUUGAAUAAAAUGGUUCUUCAAACACUUGGACCUCUGAAACUUGUAGCCGUAACUUUAGUCAUAUGGUCAGCAACUGCAUUAUGAGCUCUUGGAAUAUGGUGUAAUUCCAACAUCUUACUAUCAAUUGAACCCUAUGUGAUGGCUUAAUGGUUAAAGGUGUUCACUACCUUAGGUGUGACUUGGGUUCAAGUUGCGCUAGUCGCGUUUGUUGUUCAGGCUUUACCCUAUCAUUAUAAUUCACCACAGAAAAAAAAAAAAAAAAACAUCUACGUUUCAAUGAUAAAAUUUGAUCUAAAACAGGUUAGUCUCUUCUAUUCAACAUACCCACUCACUAUUUUCACCCCUUUAAAUGCAAAGCUUGAUGACUUUGUACCUGUGUUAGUGUGGGUAGGUCUCUUGCCAAGCAGUGAACUCCACUAUAUUUCGAGCUAUUAUUAAUACAUACAUAUGUGUAAAAAGAAGGACCCUUCUCCAUAUGUGAGAGCUCCAUCAUGUGUUAGUGUGGCUUUAUUGCUUGAAAACCCAUUGCUUCCAUGGAAGUAAAUUAAUUUCUUUUAAUUGGAUUGCCUCGAAGUUCAUAUUCUGCUGUGUGAGUUUCAAAACAACACAUUCUGGACACUAUAUUUAGAGUAUUUGAGCACACCAAACACAAAUAUCUUUAUUUAUUCGCAUAUCAAAAGUAAAUGAUAUUAUCGAUACAUAAUAAAAAUAAAAGUGCCGUUGAAAUUGGCCAACCAUGCUGCUAUUACAUGUUUUGGUUGAAGUGCAUGCAGCUUGAUGACAUGCUGCAGCACGUAUACUUACUAUAAUAGUAAGGUUUUCUUUUUAGUUUCUUUGUUGAUUAAACUACUUGGAAAUGAACAAGCUGAUGACAGCUUGAUAUGUUUAGGUGUUGAAUGACUAGUUUAGGUGGUUUGUUUGUGUACAAGCAAUGUUUUUAAAGUUACUAGGCUACUUAGUGGUAGUAGGUAGUAAUAACUGAUGUAGUUGGCUAUAAAUGUAUUGUUUUUCUUAUUGAAAAAUUAAGCAUAUCACUUGUGUAAAGCAGAUUGCUUCCUUGCUGCACGUUUGUGAGCAAGUAAAUUGUUUUUGUUUCUUCCUCCUUUGUUCUCUGUCUUGUUCUUUUUCUUUUUGCUGCUGUCAUUGUUCCAACAAAUGGUAUCAACAGCCUAAGUCUUAAGGGGCCAUUGAUUUUGCUUCCGUUGCUUGUUAAAAAGAAAGAAGCUGUCAAAACACAAGCAAGUCAUUAAGGACUGCUUGUAGAGAAGACAGCAUUGGCUCAAACUUAUGAGACCCCCAAACAAGCUUGAAUAAGCUGGAGGAGGAGUUUCAGUUUCAAGGAAAGGUGUGAGCUUUCCAAAUGUGCAAGCUUAGCAAGAUGUCAAAGCUGCAAGCUUAGCAAAGUGCGAGCCUGUUGAAGACACCUGUUGAAGACAAUGUGCAAAGAUGUGAGUCUGUCAAAGGUGUGAGCUCAGCAACAUGUGGAAUCUCAAUGCGUGUUGUAUAGUUGCAAGCCUGUUGAAGACAGUAAGCAAAGUGUGAGCCUGUCGAAUUGCAAGCCAAAAUGGCAAAAUGAAGGCAAGCAAACUAUACUCACGAACUAUUUGUGCAAGAAGAAGCAAGAUUGUAGUGAACAAAGAAACAAGGUAAGAUGUGUAGUCGACCAAGGCUGUGAAGGAGGAGAAGACUCCAUUUGGUGAACAAAUCUUUGGCACAAAAGACUGGGAUAGUCAAGUGUGUAAGUCAGAUUUGUUUGUGAAUGAAGCCAAGGUUGAAAAUGAAUUGGUCAGCUUGAAACAAAACAUCUAAGGGCUGUCAAGUUCAAAAAACUUGAUGAAUGAUUGGUAUUUGCAGCAUGGAGUCCAAGGAGGAGUGUUGAAAUUGGCCAACCAUGCUGCUGUUACAGUGCAUGCAGCUUGAUGACAUGCUGCAGCAUGUAUACUUGCUGUAACAGCAAGGUUUUCUUUUUAGUUUCUUUGUUGAUUAAACUACUUGGAAAUGAACAAGCUGAUGACAGCUUGAUAUGUUUAGGUGUUGAAUGACUAGUUUAGUUGGUUUGUUUGUGUACAAGCAAUGUUUUUAAAGUUACUAGGCUACUUAGUGGUAGUAGGUAGUAAUAACUGAUGUAGUUGGCUAUAAAUGUAUUGUUUUUCUUAUUGAAAAAUUAAGCAUAUCACUUGUGUAAAGCAGAUUGCUUCCUUGCUGCACGUUUGUGAGCAAGUAAAUUGUUUUUGUUUCUUCCUCCUUUGUUCUCUGUCUUGUUCUUUUUUUUUUUGCUGCUGCCAUUGUUCCAACAAGUGCACCCACACAUUGGCUUCCAUGAAAGAAGCACAGUUUUAUUUAGUUUCGUACAUACACACAUCCUGCCUGACUAAGAUCCUGUCGUGCCUUCCCCGUAGCAGUAGUUGCUUAAACGGAAGAGCUGAGUGAUUCUUCUUUGGUUUGAAAGUUGAGACUAUAGUAAUUAGAACCAGUGUAAGUGCCGCCUUGCACUUCAGAUAUGACAAUGUUGCCAUUAUAAAGAGUGUCCUUCUGCAUGUACGUGAACGGAACAUCACAUGUACCAUUUAUUGCAGUCAGAUUCACCGUCACCUUAGUCAUCGGAGGCACAACAACUUUGUGUAGAACAUCCAUCAUAGAAGUCACUGUCUUGGUAUCUUCCCACUCAAAUCCUGUCUGAAUUUCGCCAGAUAACUCAAUGCUCCCCUCAAAAAUUUUUGGAAGGCCGAAUUUCAUGGUAGCUUUUGCCCCUACCUUUAGUGAUACAUUAGCCUUCCAAGUACGAGUGUGGGUGUCUGUGUAAGAAAGUUUCAGCUCUAAAGAUUCGGAUUUCCGGGUAUAGUUACUAGCAGAAUUCAUCGCAAUCACAAGUUUGCUUUCGUCGUAGAUCCUGCAAUUAUCAAGAUCAUACUUGAUAUUAUAAAAUUUCCUUUCCAAAACAGGCACUUCCACUCGAAGCUGGACUUCCUUUGUAAUAGAGGUGUUAAGAAAUGGCUUAAAAUUGGUAGUGGAUUGUUGUUGUUGGUAGUGGGUUGUUGGUGGUAGUGGAUUAGUGGAUGGUUGUUGGUGUCCAUUUUCAACCACAAAUCUUUGCCAAAGUUUUGGACAAUUAUGUCCUUGAACUCUCUUAUAAAUAGAGAGGUUCAUUAGCCAUAUUGAUCAUCCCAAACCAAGAGAGAGCAAAGCUUGUUCUUUGAAAGCUAGGAUUUUAGCUUUCGGGUUUUCUAUAGGGGUUGAGAGUUGUGAGGUUCUCGGGUUGUGUCUUGAGUGUAAAACACUUGUAAUCUUCAUCUUGUUAUAGUGAAAUUUCUUUUCGCCUCUGCCCGUGGACGUAGGCAUUAAAGCCGAACCACGUAAAUCCUUGUGUUCACUUUAUUUUUCGUUUCGGUCAAUUUACUUGUAGUCAUAUCGGAGUUCUCGAAUCGAUCCUUUCCGCAACAAAUUGGUAUCAGAGCGUAGUUGAAGGAGUGAUAAUAUUUUCUGAAUUGCCCUGUGACUGCAGCUUUGUCUGAUCUUUCACAUCAGGAAGAAAAUAUUAUCAUUCAUUCAAAGGUUCCAAAUUAUGGCUACAAGUGUUUCAUCGACUAAGUAUGAUGUCGAGAAAUUUACCGGGAAAAAUAGUUUCAGUUUAUGGCGCAUCAAGAUGCGGGCAGUGCUGGUUCAACAAGGAUUGCUAAAAGCAUUGUCUGGUAAAGAUAAAUUACCAAGCACGCUUUCGGAAGAGCAAAAGGAUGACAUGCUAGAAAGAGCACAUAGUGCUAUUCUGCUAUGUCUAGGAGAUGAAGUGCUACGAGAAGUAGCGGAUGAGAAAACCGCGUCCGGUUUGUGGCUCCGGUUAGAAAGCAAGUACAUGACGAAGUCAUUGACGAACCGGCUCUACCUCAAGCAAAGACUCUAUGCCCUGAAGAUGGAGGAAGGUACACCUGUUUCCCAGCACCUGGAUAAAUUCAAUUCCAUUAUCAUGGAUUUGAAUAAUAUCGAUAACAAAAUCGAUGAUGAGGACCAAGCAAUAAUUGUUUUGUGUUCUUUGCCUCCCUCGUAUGAGAAUUUUGUUGAUACAAUGAUGUACGGUCGUGAUGACCUGACUCUAGAGGAGGUGAAAAAUGCCUUAAGUUCCAGUGAGUUGAGGAAGAAAAUCACUGGUAAGGUGGUCGAAAACAAUGAAGGCGAAGGCUUGGUUGCUCGAGGAAGAUCCAAGGCAAAGGGUGGAAGUUCAAGUAAAAGCCAUCCUAGAUCGCAGUCCAAGAAGAGAAUACAGUGCUACUACUGUAAGAAGUACGGGCACAUGAAGGUAGAUUGUCCGAAAAGGAAGGAGAAAUCAGAAUCACAGGAGCAACAAAAUGAUCGUGCGAAUGUAGCUGAUGCAGAUUCUUCAAGUGAUGCCGAGAUCGUUCUUGCAGUAUCCGACUCUUACGCUGGUGGGAGAUGGAUUCUUGAUACGGGAGCUACAUUUCAUAUAAGUACUUCGAAAGAUGCAUUCUCAACAUACGAGAAGCAUUCUGGUUCAGUACUAAUGGGAAAUGACCACGCAUGUCAAGUCAUGGGGAUUGGCACAGUUCGUAUAAAGAUGUUUGACGGUAUUGUUAGAACUCUAACUGAUGUUCGGCACAUUCCAGAAAUGAAGAAAAAUUUGAUCUCUUUGAGUACGUUGGACAAGAAAGGCUUUCGGUACUCUGCUGAAGGUGGAGUUCUCAAGGUAUUCUCGGGUGCUUUGACUGUGAUACGUGGUAAUUUGGAGCGGGGCCUUUACUUCCUCGAUGGUUCCUCGGUUACAGGUGUUGCGGGAGUGUCAUCAUCAGAUGAUCUAGAUUCUGACACCACGAAGUUAUGGCAUAUGCGGCUCGGGCAUAUGAGCGAGAGAGGCUUAUCGGUGCUAAGCAAACGAGGAUUAUUGUCUGGGCAGUGUACAGGAAAGUUGAAUUUCUGUGAGCACUGCGUCUUCGGUAAGCAGACUCGGGUAAAGUUCAGCACUGGGAUUCACAAGACAAAAGGCACAGUGGAUUACUUCCAUUCUGACCUUUGGGGGCCUUCUCCGACAAUUUCUAAAGGUGGUUACAGAUAUCUGCUUACCUUUAUCGAUGAUUACUCGAGAAAGGUUUGGGUGUAUUUUCUGAAGAGCAAGUAUGAGGUUCUCAUCAACUUCAAGCAAUUUAAAGCUUUGAUCGAAAAUCAAACAGGAAAGAAGAUCAAGCGAUUCCGGACGGAUAAUGGCUUGGAGUUUUGCUCAGGUGAAUUCAAUGAGUUCUGCAAGAAUGAAGGAAUAGUGAGACACCGCACUGUUCGUCGAACACCACAACAAAAUGGAGUUGCAGAACGCAUGAAUAGAACUCUCUUGGAGCGAGCUCGUUGCAUGCGAUCAAAUGCUGGGCUCGGUGAAGAAUUUUGGGCUGAAGCUGUUAAUACUGCUUGUUAUUUGGUUAACAGAUCUCCGUCAACAGCUAUUGAGCUGAAGACUCCUGAGGAAGUAUGGUCUGGUUCUCCUGCUGAUUACUCUGGUUUAAGAGUGUUUGGCUGCCCUGCGUAUGCUCAUGUAAAUGAGGGAAAACUCAAACCGAGGGCGAAGAAAUGCAUAUUUCUUGGAUACGGCCAAGGGGUGAAAGGAUACAGGUUGUGGUGUCCUGAUCCGGUUUCGUCCAAGUUCAUCAUCAGCAGAGAUGUGACUUUUGAUGAGUCAUCCAUGCUUCGAUCCACCACAAAUUCCCGGGAAAAGGAGGAGUCAGAUAGAAUGGGAGAUCACGGUGUUGAGAAGCAGGUGGAGUGUCAGGUGGACGCUCCAAUUCCUACGGAAGGUACUUCAGUCCAGGAUGAUCAAGUUGAGGUGCAAGAUUCCGAUGAAGAUGAGUCACCUCAAGAAAAACCAUAUAGCAUUGCCACUGGAAGAACGAAGAGACAAAUCAAACCAAAUCCGCGUUACGCUAAUCUGGUGUCUUUCGCGCUCAGUGUGGCGGAGUCCAUUGGUAUAGAACCUUCCAGUUAUAAUGAGGCUGUCACGUGUGAUGAGUCGGCACAGUGGGCAAUUGCUAUGAGUGAGGAGAUAGAAUCUCUUCACAAGAACCAUACUUGGGAGUUGGUUAAGCCGCCAAGUAACCAGAAGAUAGUUGGUUGCAAAUGGGUCUUCAAGAAAAAGGAAGGCAUCCUAGGGGUUGAAGCAACUAGAUUCAAGGCACGAUUGGUUGCUAAAGGCUUCACUCAGAAAGAGGGGAUUGACUACAAUGAAGUUUUCUCCCCAGUCGUAAAGCAUUCUUCCAUUCGUAUAUUACUUGCCAUGGUGGCCAAGUCUGAUCUAGAACUUGAGCAGCUUGACGUAAAAACGGCGUUCUUGCAUGGUGAGCUCGAGGAAACAAUCUACAUGCGUCAACCAGAGGGUUUUACAGUUCCUGGUAAAGAAGACCAUGUCUGUCUAUUAAAGAAGUCUUUAUAUGGAUUGAAACAAUCCCCAAGGCAGUGGUACAAGCGGUUUGAUAGCUUCAUGAUUCAGCAUGGUUACACAAGAUGUGACUAUAAUGCUUGUGUCUAUCAUCGGAAGCUCUCAGAUGGUUCGCACAUUUAUUUGUUGCUGUAUGUUGAUGACAUGUUAAUUGCUUCCAAAAACAUGUCGGAAAUCAACAAGUUAAAGUCGCAGUUGAGUGGUGAGUUCGAGAUGAAGGAUCUGGGUGCUGCCAAGAAAAUUUUGGGCAUGGAUAUUCACAGAGAUCGCAAGGCGGGCAAGCUUCGUGUGUCGCAGAAGAACUACAUUGAAAAGGUUCUUCAACGCUUCGGCAUGGAUAAAGCGAAAACUGUGAGUACUCCGUUGGCACCACAUUUCAAACUCUCUGCAGAGUUGUCACCACAAUCUGAUGAAGAAAAGCAGCAAAUGUCUCACAUUCCAUACUCGAGUGCAGUUGGAAGCGUGAUGUAUGCAAUGGUUUGCACUCGUCCAGACAUUUCACAUGCAGUUAGUGUGGUCAGCAGAUACAUGAGUUGUCCUGGCAAGGAACACUGGCAGGCCGUGAAAUGGAUUCUCAGGUACUUGAGAGGUUCUGCAGAUUUAUGCUUGGUAUAUGAUCAGAGUGACUGCACUAGCAGUGUCACGGGCUAUGCGGACUCUGAUUAUGCUGGAGAUCUGGACAAAAGAAGAUCUCUGACGGGUUAUGUUUUCACUUAUUCUGGAGGAGCCAUUAGUUGGAAAGCUGUGUUACAGUCUACCGUAGCCUUAUCUACGACUGAGGCGGAAUAUAUGGCGUUAGCAGAAGCAGUGAAAGAAGCAUUGUGGAUGAAAGGUCUAGUAAGCAGUUUGGGUUUACAACAGGAUUUCACUGUUGUAUUUUGCGAUAGCCAGAGUGCCAUACAUCUGACUAAAAAUCAGAUGUUUCAUGAACGGACCAAACACAUUGAUGUCAGAUAUCAUUUUGUUCGGGAACAUGUUACGCAAGGUGACAUUGUUAUCAGCAAGGUUGCUACCGAGAAGAAUCCUGCAGAUAUGUUAACUAAGGUGAUCCCUGCAUAUAAGUUCAAGCAUUGCUUGGACUUGAUAGGUAUUCGGGAUUGAUUAGCGCCAGAGAGGCGUUUGGAAGAGGUGAUCCAGUUCACUAUGAUGUUCAGCUUGGUAAAUUUCAAGCCAAGGUGGAGAUUUGUUAAGAAAUGGCUUAAAAUUGGUAGUGGAUUGUUGUUGUUGGUAGUGGGUUGUUGGUGGUAGUGGAUUAGUGGAUGGUUGUUGGUGUCCAUUUUCAACCACAAAUCUUUGCCAAAGUUUUGGACAAUUAUGUCCUUGAACUCUCUUAUAAAUAGAGAGGUUCAUUAGCCAUAUUGAUCAUCCCAAACCAAGAGAGAGCAAAGCUUGUUCUUUGAAAGCUAGGAUUUUAGCUUUCGGGUUUUCUAUAGGGGUUGAGAGUUGUGAGGUUCUCGGGUUGUGUCUUGAGUGUAAAACACUUGUAAUCUUCAUCUUGUUAUAGUGAAAUUUCUUUUCGCCUCUGCCCGUGGACGUAGGCAUUAAAGCCGAACCACGUAAAUCCUUGUGUUCACUUUAUUUUUCGUUUCGGUCAAUUUACUUGUAGUCAUAUCGGAGUUCUCGAAUCGAUCCUUUCCGCAACAAGAGGAGACAUCUACGUUAAGGCAAUUAGUCUUUCCCUCCUUACUGAGGCUCUUGCAGAAGUUAUUGUUGCCCAAAUUGCGAAGAGCUAUUGUCUGGUCGUUAACUUUGAAGGCUCGAAACAAGGUGUCCUUGUUGUUGCUGGUAGUGUCAUCAGAAUCCGCCCAAAUCCAAUUCGGACUCCGCCGCCAAAACUUAUUGGAACCAGCAGGCUUGAUGCGAAUGCUUCCAUCAUUAUUCAUGAAAACCUCCAUGGUCACACCCGCAUCACCAAUAUCACCAGAUGAAAAUUGCAAAUACGGAUGACCCCCGAUCUGACGAAGACAAAGAUACUGGCCAUUGUUUCCUUUGAAUGCCACAUGCCUUGGCAAAAACACGAGCGAUUCCCAAUCAAUGAUUGUGAACAUAUCACGGGAAUACUCAUCGAGAUGUUCGGACGUGAAGAGGUUGGGAGUUUCACGUAUUACCCAUAAAUGUUUUCUCGAUUGCACAUGCACAAUUUGGACAUCAGUUGCUGAAUCAUCUACAGAGAUAAGCUUGAACAAUGUGCACGACUUCUUGGAUCGGUCUUCCUCCGGCUUCCUGGCGGUCGCGGUGAUUCUGGUUUCAUCGGAAACCAAAUAUUUGUUGUUUUGACUGCUCCUUAUGUGCACUAAGCCAUCUAUGCCACCGCGUUGAGCAAUCUCAACCUCAAAUUUUGCAUAUGGGCUCGCAACCCGAGUUUCAGAAAAUUUGAGAUACCCAUCUUUAUAAUCUCCCUUUUCAUGGUCAAAGCCCAAGUAUUUGUUAUUCUGAUGGGAUUUGAGUACGAUAAACCUUGGCGACGAAAAUGGCUUAUUCGCAAGCAACUCCCAGUCGAUGACUGUGAAGAGAUCACAGGAGUUACCAUCGAAAACUCUGUAGUUUGCCAACACGCAGUUAUUAAACGUUGGAGAAUCUACCCACCAUAAGCAUAAAUAGCAACCUGAUUGCACAUGCAUAAUUCGGAUCUUAUUUGUUGCAGUGUCCACCGGGAUAAGUUUGAACAACGUGCACGACUCCUCGGACCGGCCUUCUUCCGGCUUGUCGGCUGCUGCAGAAAUCCAAUACUGCUCUUUUGAGUUUCCAGUGAUGGAAACAUUUUUGACUCGUUUGCAGUAUUUUUUGUUGUGGCAGCUCUUUAUGUGCACCAACCCAUCUUCCCCACUGCAUUUGGCCCUUUCCACCUCAAAUUUUGUGUAUGGACUGAAAGCCAAAGUUUCCGAAAAUUUGAUAUACCCAUUACAAUCGUAACUCUCAUACAUAUAGCUCAAAUAUUUGUUCCUCGCCUCACAUUUGAUCACCAUAAACCUUGGCGACGCAAAUGGCUUCGCAAGCAACUCCCAGUCGAUGACUGUGAAGAGAUCACAGGAAUUACCAUCGAAAACUUUGUAGUUUGCCAACACACAUUUAUUAAACGUUGGAGAAUCUACCCACCAUAAACAUAAAUAGCAACCUGAUUGCACAUGCAUAAGUCGGAUCUUAUUUGUUGCAGUGUCCACUGGGAUAAGCUUGAACAACGUGCACGACUCCUCGGAUCGGCCUUCCUCCGGCUUGUCGGCGGCUGCAGAAAUCCAAUACUGCUCUUUUGAGUUUCCAGUGAUGGAAACAUUUUUGACUCGUUUGCAGUAUUUGUUGUUGUGGCAGCUCUUUAUGUGCACCAACCCAUCUUCCCCACUGCAUUUGGCCCUCUCCACCUCAAAUUUUGUGUGUGGACUGCAAGCCAAAGUUUCCGAAAAUCUGAGAUACCCAUGACAAUUGGAACUCUCAUGCAUAUAGCUCAAAUAUUUGUUCCUCGCCUCACAUUUGAGCACCAUAAACCUUGGCCAUGCAAUUGCCAUUUUCACUACCCCUCUCUCUUUCUCUCUUUUUUAAUCUAAACUUGAACGGAUAGAUGAGUCUCUACCAAUUAGCUUCUAUUUCGUUUCUUUCUUGCUUAUGCUUACCACAACCUCCUAGACUUCACAAUUUAUAACUAAAAUUUGGUUUCUAUAAAUCACAUUCUUUCCCGCAUGUUCAAGCAAAGUACCGAAGGAGAGACCAAUAAGACAAUGCAAUCCAUAAACAUUACAUCUUUUCAAAGUAAAAGCUAUAAAGUAACAGUGAAUUCUGGCAUAGCAAAGUAAUCAAGUAAAAACAAAUAAAAUAAAUUUUUGAUCCCUAAACUUUGCAACUAGGUCUACUGUUGUGCGAAACCGUGUAAAAGAGUAAAAUUAUUGUAAUAAAAAAUUACACUAAGUUCAAUUCCCAGGAAAGAGAGGUGGAUCGCAAGGAUCGCUUAAGUACCAGGUCUUUCCUAGCCAGAAUAUCCCUCAAUCGUAAUUUAAUAGCACAAUAAAUCACUACAAUCACACACACAAUUCAUGCAGAAUAAUACAAUAAAGAACACAAGAAUUUAACGAGGUUCAGCAAAUUUUGCCUACGUCCUCGGGCACUACCAAAUAUAUUUCACUCCAAAAUACAAGUGAGAAUUUACACAGAGAGAGAGAGAAAACAAUGCCUUAAGUAGAGAAUGGCAAGUUUGAGAUACAGAAUGAGAGAUGGUUAUGCUUAUUUAUAGUUGAGGUUCAGGGAUCAACUUGCAAAGUCGCUUUACAAUUAGGGACCAUAUAUUGCAAAUAUUCAGAUUUUAUUAUGCCAAUAUCUCGAUACCCAUAUCUUUGACUUUCCAAUAUUUGAUACCCAUAUCUUUGACUUUCUAUUAUUUGAUACCCAUAUCUUUGAUUUUCCAUAAAUAUGGAUAAUUCCCAAUAAUCUCCACCUUGAAGAUUUGAUUCGAGUAAUCUUAUCUUCACACAAUUCUCUCUGCCUUUGUCAACAACACUUGAUAGUGCCUUCUUCAACUGUUAAACAUGCAGAAUAUUGAUCAAGUUCAAACAAUGUUCGAACUUGAUUGUUGUUACCACCUUGGUCAUCAUAUCUGCGGGAUUAUCUGCAGUCUUAAUCUUCUGAAGGUGAAUUUUCCCCUCAUCAAUAAUUUCCCGCACAAAGUGGAAACGUACAUCGAUAUGCUUUGUACGUGCAUGAUAGACUUGAUUCUUUGCUAAAUGAAUAGCACUUUGACUAUCACAAUACACAUUAAUAUGCUCCUGGACCAAUCCCAAGGAUUUAACCAUACCUUGUAACCAAAUAGCUUCCUUUACAGCCUCUGUUAUAGCCAUGUAUUCAGCUUCUGUGGUUGACAACGCAACUGUAGACUGCAGUGUAGACUUCCAACUUAUUGGUCCUCCAGCAAGAGUAAACACAUAACCAGUGGUUGAUCUUCGUUUGUCCAAAUCACCGGCAUAAUCAGAAUCAACGUACCCAACAACACCUUUACCAAGUGUAGUAUCCUGCUUGAACAGUAAUCCAAUAUCCAUGGUCUUAUGAAUAUACCGUAGAAUCCAUUUCACAGCUUGCCAAUGUCCUUUUCCAGGAUUAUGCAUAUACCUGCUCACUAUACUAACUGAUUGUGAAAUGUCGGGUCUUGUACACACCAUUGCAUACAUCAAGCUACCUACUGCAUUAGAAUACGGAACUUGUAACAUGUAUUCUUGUUCCGUAUUUGUCGAAGGAGAUAGUUGUGCAGAAAGCUUGAAAUGAGAAGCCAACGGGGUACUUACAGCUUUAGUCUGCUCGUUCAUGCCAAACUUCUGUAGUAUCUUCUUUAAAUAUUGCUUCUGAGAUAAACUAACUCUGCCAUAAGCUCUAUCCCUACAUAUUUCCAUGCCAAGGAUCUUCUUAGCUUCACCUAGAUCUUUCAUCUCAAACUCAAGGUUGAGUUGAGUCUUCAAUCUCUCAAUUUCAACUUUACUCUUAGAUGCUAUCAACAUAUCAUCAACAUAUAAGAGCAAGUAUACGAAAAAUCCUUCUUGUAGCUUCUGAAAAUACACGCAAUGAUCAAAUUUACUUCUUGUAUACCUUUGCCCUUUCAUGAACUGAUCAAAUCGCUUGUACCACUGCCUUGGAGAUUGUUUCAAUCCAUAAAGCGACUUUGUCAGUUUGCAAACCCAAUUUUAUUUAUCAGCAACCUUGAAUCCAUCUGGCUGAGUCAUAUAGAUUUCCUCUUCCAAAUCACCGUGUAAAAAUGCGGUCUUCACAUCGAGCUGAACUAGUUCAAGAUCAUAUUGCGCAACCAAGGCUAGCAAAAUCCGAAUAGACGAAUGCUUCACAACUGGAGAAAAUACUUCAUUGUAGUCUAUUCCUUCUUUCUGAGCGUAACCCUUUGCUACCAAUCUAGCCUUGUAUCGAACUUCAUUUUUAUCAGGAAAUCCUUCCUUCUUUGCAUAUACCCAUUUGCAUCCAAUUGCCUUCUUUCCUUUAGGUAGUGUCACCAACUCCCAAGUCCUAUUUUUAUGAAGAGACUGCAUUUCUUCAUUCAUAGCUUGCUUCCACUUUACACUAUCAGAGUUACUUCUUGCUUCUGUGUAAGUAGAAGGAACAUCAUCAUCUGCAAUUGGAAGUGCAUAGGCCACCAUAUCAUCAAAGCGAGCAGGCAUACGAAUCUCUUUUCUUGGCCUUCUAUAUGCAAUUGAAUCAUGUUGUUGUAGAAGUUCUUGGGUCGAAACUUCUUCAUCAUUUGUUCCUUCAAUAUUAGCUGGAUCAUCAUUAACCUUUUCAAGCUCCACCUGCUGCAAAGUGCUACUGGUUGUGUUAUCCUUUUGUGAAUCAUUGUUCUUCAUCAUGGUUGAUUCAUCAAAAGUCACAUCUCUACUGAAAAUUAUUUUCCUUGUAUCAGGACACCAGAGACGGUAUCCUUUUACUCCACCAGUUAUACCCAUGAAUAAUGCUUUCUUUGCUCUUGGGUCUAACUUAGAUUCUUUUACAUGAUAAUAUGCAGUGGAACCAAAAAUAUGUAAAGAAUCAUAAUCAAUAGCAGGUUUACCAGCCCACCUCUCCAUAGGAGUUUUUCCAUUUAUUGCAGCUGAUGGCAACCGAUUAAUUAGAUGGCACGCAUAUGUAACUGCCUCAGCCCAAAAUUCUUUGCCCAAUCCAGCAUUGGACAACAUACAUCGAACUUUCUCCAGUAUAGUCCGAUUCAUACGUUCUGCCACCCCAUUCUGUUGUGGUGUAUCUCGAACAGUAAAGUGUCGUACAAUACCUUUAUCGUGACAUACUUGUAGAAAUGGAUCAUUCUUGUACUCAGUACCAUUGUCUGAUCGAAGUCGUUUGACUUUUCGACCAGCCUGGGUCUCCACCAUCUUCUUCCAUUUCAGAAAUACAUCCAAAACUUCAUUUUUCCUUUUCAUUAGAUACACCCAUACUUUUCUUGAAUAAUCAUCAACAAAAGUAACAAAAUAGUGCAUACCUCCCAAAGAAGCCACUUUAGUAGGUCCCCACACAUCACUGUGAACGUAGUCCAGAAUUUCUUUUGUAUUGUGAAUUGCUGAACCAAAUUUUAUCCUCGUCUGCUUGCCCAGAACACAAUGUUCACAGAAUUCCAAUUUGCAAGAAUUUGCACCUUUCAACAAGCCUUGCUUCGCCAAACUCUGCAAAGCUUUUUCACCAGCAUGUCCCAAUCGCAUAUGCCAUAACUUGGUAGCCUCUGAAUCUGCAUCUUUCGUAAAAGCUGUUGAUGUUGAUCCAAUAACUGUACUUCCAUUUAAAUAGUACAGAUUAUUCCUUCUUGUGCCUUUCAUCACCGUCAAUACCCCAGCUACUACCUUUAGUAAUCCAUCUUUCAAAGUGAUUGUGAGCCCUUUAGAUUCUAGGACCCCUAAUGAGAUAAGAUUUUUCUUCAAGCUAGGUAUGUAGUGAACAUCUGUCAAGACUUGAAUUGAGUCGUCGUGAUUCUUCAAUUGGAUUGUACCUACUCCCAUUGUCUUACAAGCGCUAUCAUUGCCCAUAAAAACAACUCCACCUUCUAGUUCUUUAAGACUAGAAAACCAGUCCUUAUUAGGACACAUAUGGUAAGUACAUCCCGAAUCCAAAAUCCACUCAUCUGUAUGACAUGCCAUUGCCAUGCCAACCAAGCUAAAGUCUGACUCCUCAUCAUGCUCCGCUACACAUGCAUCAGAAAUAGCUUUACCCUUUUGUAACUUAGGACAAUUCUUUUUCCAAUGCCCUUUCUCACGACAAAAAGCACAUUCAUCUUUGGCAGGUCUCCCUUUGGACUUACUCCUUCUACCAGAUUUGUUGCUGCGCGAACGACUUCUUACUGUUAAGACUUCUGUAGUUGUAUCUCUGUGAUCUUUUUUAUCUUUCUUUCGAGUCUCAGAUCUAUACAACGCACUACAGACUGCAUCAAAUGUGAUUGUAUCCUUCCCAUGAAGCAAUGUGGUGGUAAGAUGAUCAUAUUCAUCAGGAAGAGAAUUCAACAACAGUAAUGCCUUGUCUUCAUCUUCAAAUUUCUCAUCCAAAUUUAGCAAGUCUGCUAAAAUUUUAUUGAAUGAGUUCACAUGGUCAUUCAUCGACAUACCGGGUGCAUACGUGAAUCGAUAAAGUUUCUUUUUCAUAUAAAGCCUAUUUUCAAGACUUUUUGUUAGAAACUUUUCUUCCAGUGUAUCCCACAACUUCUUCGCUGAUGUCUCCCUCAUGACAGAGUACUUCUGCUCUUUGGCCAAACAUAGGCGAAUUGUUCCACAUGCCUGUCUAUUGAUCUUGGCCCACUCCUUGUCAACCAUCUUGUCAGGUUUUUCUUCAAGGGCUAUAUCCAGCUCUUGCUGACAUAAGACAUCCAGGAUCUCACAUUGCCACAUACCAAAAUUAUUGGUACCAUCAAAUUUCUCUACUUCAAAUUUCGCAUUGGUCACAGUAGUCUUUGACGAUGACUUUUCCAUUUUUUUCUCCUCAAUCCCAACUACAGUCGUGAACAGUGCCGUGAACGAUCGUAUUCCCCAAGUACGAAUCUAGCUCUGAUACCAAUUGUUGUGCGGAAGCGUGUAAAAGAGUAAAAUUAUUGUACUAAAAAAUCACACUAAGUUCAAUUCCCAGGAAAGAGAGGUGGAUCGCUAGGAUCGCUUAAGUACCAGGUCUUUCCUAGCCAGAAUAUCCCUCAAUCGUAAUUUAAUAGCACAAUAAAUCACUACAAUCACACACACAAUUCAUGCAGAAUAAUACAAUAAAGAACACAAGAAUUUAACGAGGUUCAGCAAAUUUUGCCUACGUCCUCGGGCACUACCAAAUAUAUUUCACUCCAAAAUACAAGUGAGAAUUUACAGAGAGAGAGAGAGAAAACAAUGCCUUAAGUAGAGAAUGGCAAGUUUGAGAUACAGAAUGAGAGAUGGUUAUGCCUAUUUAUAGUUGAGGUUCAGGGAUCAACUUGCAAAGUCACUUUACAAUUAGGGACCAUAUAUUGCAAAUAUUCAGAUUUUAUUAUGCCAAUAUCUCGAUACCCAUAUCUUUGACUUUCCAAUAUUUGAUACCCAUAUCUUUGACUUUCUAUUAUUUGAUACCCAUAUCUUUGAUUUUCCAUAAAUAUGGAUAAUUCCCAAUAUCUACUUUGAUUCUUAAAUUUAGAUUUUGUCAAGAUUUGAUGAUGUGUCUUGUGCUAUUGGAAUAAGUCUAGGUUGGACAAAUUGAAAACUGAUUGAUAUAACAGUCCGAACAAAGGGGUUGAACGAAUUAACUCAAAAACUACUUAAAAUUGGUUACAAUCGAAAACCAAGAUAAAAAUCAACUAUUGAACAAGUUGAACCAAUUUAGUAUUUUUUAUUUUUUUAAAAGUUUAUAAAUUUUUAAUUAAUUAAUUAUUGUUGGUCUAGCAAUUGAAUCGAUCGGAAUGAUUGAAUCAGGAAUUAUUGGUUUGACCUGUUCAACCAUUGAUCCUAUUAUUAAAAUACUAAAUGUGAAUUCUAUGACAUAACAAUGUAGAAUGCAAUCCAUAAACAUUACAUCUAUGUUAUUGUGCUUUGAUUGAGAUAAUGCUGCUGAUUUUGCAUAUCUUCAACUUCAAGUAAAGAAAAAUUAUUAUUUAAUAUUUUAAUAGUGGUUUUUUAAAUUUUACAAGUGAAAUUUAAAAAAAAUUUAUCAUGCCUUUUAUUUAUUUUUUAGUUUUUAAAAUAUUAUUUUAGAAUAAAUAAUAAUUUGGCAAAUAAUUAAAUCCAAGUGGAAGCCAAAAAUUGGAAAGGCUGUAUCACAUUAUUUUCAGGAACCACAGGGAAAAAGAAAAUUCAAAGUUGAAACAGUGCAUUCCACGUGGGGUUUCUCCAUCAAUCAAUGACUCGCUAUUGCUUUUACUUUGGGAUAAACUAACUUUUAAUCUUUGAAUUUGAUUUUUUUAAAAUUUAGUCCUUAACUUUUUUGGUUUACUUUAGUUUUAGAAUUUGAUAAUUUUUUUUAGUUUUAGGUAAUGUGAUGACAUGAUAAUAUGAUAUUGUACUAUGUUAUCACUUAAAAAAUAUAUUUUUCUUUUCGUUUUAGGAAUUUUUAUAUGUUUUUGUAGCAUUUUUUUUAGUCUUGUUUAUACAAGUAACCUUAGUUUUACAAGUGAUUUUAUGGAUGUUUUGUUGUCGUCCUCUCUAGUUUGGUGAAUGCUCCAAUCCUUUUUCGAUUUUUACCCGCCGCUUUAGAUCAUCCGUGGUUGAUUUCUUUAUCGCAUUAAGUGUUUGCAAUCACUCUAUAUAUGUCGCGCUUGAAUUGUGAUAAAGCCAAUUGUCAACAGGUCGAGUCAUGACACUGAGGCUAAAGUCUUUGUUGUGUUAUUUGAGCUUAUCUUUCACUAUUUACGAUAAGUGUUUGUAAUUUUUUUCUCUAAAUUAUAUGAUUCCCUUUAUUAAUUAAUAAAUUUACCUUUAAAUAUAUAUUUCUAUAAAAAUUAGAUAAUAACAUCACACCAUUUUAGAAUACAAAAUCAGGGAUCAAAUUUGUGAAAUUCUAGUAUUAAUGUAGACAAAAAAAAUCAGAGACUAGGUUGAGAUAUUAUUUAAUUUGCAGGCAGGUAAUUUGUGGGAGUCAAAGUAGAAACAGUGAGUAUUCCGCUUGAGUGAUCAAUGACGAUUUGGAUUAGUUCUUAGAGUUCAAGCUUGUGUAAAAAUAAUGCUUUAAUCAUGUUUUUAGAAUUAAAUCGAUAGUUGACUAGGUUAAAUUAUCGGUUCAUUUAAUAUGUUCGGAUUUUCGAUUCAUUAUCACUUUUUACAAAAGAAAAGUCAAAAUGGAAACAGUGAGUAUUCCGCGUGAGUGAUCAAUGAUGCGCUUUUCCUACUGCUUUUGCUUUUCCUGAGUGAUCAUCUUGCUGCUUUCACUGACUUUCCUACCAUAUUUCUCUUCUGCUGUACCCAAACUCUGUUCAAUCUCACUUUCUUUCAUGGCUUCUUCUGUUUUUGAUACCGACACCGCCUUGAGAUUAUUUGGUAGAAAAUUCUUUUCGGAAAAACCAAGACUAGAGAAACCGAAUGAUACAAAAGUAUUUCCGACUAUAUCUAUUUAAGGGUUAAAAAACCUUGUUAUAAUCAAAAUCAAAUAGAAAAAGGAUAAUUCUAUACGAAUUUAACUUGUGUGGUAUGUCCAUAUUGCGAGGACUCAACCCUCGGUCCUUCACCUUCUCAAUCCUCGAGGAUUCGGAUCAAACAAGUCUCGGAAUCUACAUCUAUAUAAUUGAAAGACUUGCCUAAAAAAUGAACUGAGAGUUAGGCAACUAAUUAAUUUGAUAUUGAGAGAAUACGUUUAGAAGAGUGUUAUUUUUUAAGUAAACCCUAUUGUUGUGGUUUUAUUUUUUAUGAUCACAAGGAGUGUUUCCGGUGGUGAGAAUAUUGUAUUUUCAAAGUGCAAGGGUGAGGGAAACAAUCGCGAUCUGUGUGAUUGAGUAAGUUCAUUUUGUAAUUAUUGAAGAGAAUGCAUAUUUCUCACUGACCUAGGGGCUCUGCAGAUGUAGGGAAAUUAAACUGUAUAAUUAUCUUUUUUCCGCUUUCUCAUUUAGUGCAUAGAGAAAUGCCUACAAACUUAAACAUCAAUUUCUUUGUGUAGUUAUUGCUCUUAGCAACAUCCUUUUUGCUAACAAUUUUUUUUUUAGAAUUUGAACUAAAAUAACAAAUUCCAUAAACAUGGAGGACUAAAUUUAUUGUAUUUUUUAGUUUAAGAUCAAAUCGAUAAAAUAUGUAAACAUUAGAGUUAAAUUUAUUAUUAGAUCAAUAAAUAAAAAGCCCACGUCAGCACUUCCUUCAAAUUUCAAACAAUUGUUAACAUUUGGUGACCAAAAAAAUUUAUUUUAAAUAGUUUAGUGACCAAAAUAGAACGCGAGCACUACUUUAGUGACCAUUUUUAUACUUUACCCUAAAAUAUAUAAUAAAACUCUAAACUAAAGUAUUCAAAUUAUCAAGUCUAUUUACAAUCUAUACUAAUCUAAACUAAUAUUAAGUAUUUGAUAGAAUUGUUGUCACUCAUUAAUCGAGUCUCAACUCAGUUGUGAAAUUACCAAAAGUCCCUUAUUUUUAUAAAGUAAUAAAUACUAAAUUAAAAUAUGAUACAAAUUCUUGUACUCUUUGUAUAUUUGAAAUAAAAAAAAAUUGAAGUUUUAAUGGACCUAAAUUUAAUAAAAUAAAUUUAAUAAAAUAAUUCUAGUAGUGUUCACAAUUAAACCUAAAUUUUGAAAUCUAAAAGGUAAAAAGUCCAAAUUCCUUACGAUAAAAUAGAGGGACUAAAUUCUAAAUAAAUUCUAAAUAUAAAAAGAGUACGACUUAGAGUAUAUUUUAACCUAAAUAUUAUAUUAAGGGUGUUUUUAUUCUUUUUAUAUUUUUAUAUAUAUACUAAAUAAUACAUGCAAUUAAUAGGAUUUGAAUUUUUUAAAUGUCAUGAUUACAAUAUGUUGACUUUACCAUUUCUAUCAUAACCUCAUUUAAUUCUUAUAUUUUUUUAAUAAAUUUAUUAUAUAAUAAUUCUACUCAUAUCGUGAGUGUACUAUAAUUUAGUUUAUUAAAAAAAUACUAAUAAAUUAGUGACUUAAAUAAAAAAACUUUUAAAUAGUUUAAUAACCAUUUUGUAACUUUUUAAAAUUGGCUAACCAAAAAAUAAAGUUACUAAUAGUUCAAUGACCUUGGGUAUAAUUUACCCUUAAAAUUUUUAAAAAGAAAAAAAAUUCUAAUGGAAUUGGAGCUGAGUAUGGAUGAUUAUUUGAGCUAAAAUAAUAUCAAAGUAGGGAGUAAAUUGAAUAUAAUAGAGAAUUUCAUGACUUGCUUGAUAUAUGCAAUUGGUCUGAAAUUUAGUUGGAACAUGUUGAAUUACAUAUUAAAUUGAUUAUUGUUUUUUGAAAUUAGCAUGUUAAAGCAUAAAUUGAAUGGCAUAAUGAAUUGGAAUUUGGUUACCCUAUUAGCUGUUCAGACUAUGUCGGACAUAGUUGGCAUGCCAUAAGGAUAGAGUAUUGAGUAAAGCCACCAUUUUCGGGCAACCCGGGGUGACAAAUUAAUUGAGUUGAGAAAACCAUUAUUGUUGAGCAAUCAGGGGUGAUAUUAUAUUUUGAUAUAGUGUCGUCGUUGUCAGGCAACCUGAGGUGACAGAUCCUUAUAUCCGUACCGAGUCUGUGUUUAGCUAAUAGGGUUAAUAAUAAAAGAAUUGAUUAAAUGAUAAUGAAAUGGAAUGUUGUUGCAAAAUGAAUGUUAUAUGAGAAAAUAGUAUAAAGAAUCAUUAUGUUAAAAUGAAUAUGAGCUUAGACAUAUAAAAUGAAUAUAAAUUUUCAUGAGUUUGACUAUGAUUUGAAUGUAUAGCAUUGCAUGAAUUUAUUUAUAUUGAUUUGAACUGUAGAAUUACCAUUGAGAAAUUUGCUUAGCGUACAAUUUGUUUUUCCGUAUGCAAGUUAAAUUCAGUUCAAGAUUCUUAAGCAUAAACUUUAGCAUCCAAAUGGUUAAUAUCUUAGUUGAAAUGGUAUAAUAAUGUUAGAUAUGCUAAUGAUCUUAUUGAUAUUGGUGUGAAAUUGAAUUGCAUUAGGGAUUUGUUUUAUUGGAAUGGAACAUUUGCAAAUUGAGAGUAGAGUCUAUACAUAUAUAAUUAUGUCUUGAAAUGAUGUUAAGGUAAUACAUACGAUAGUUGAAUGUCAUUUGGAUAUAUGGAUAGUUUUGGACCGGAAGUAUUUGAUGGUUAGAACGUGAUAUUAUGUGAUUAGAAAGUGUUAUGACUUAAUAUGGAACUCACUAGGAUUGUCCAUUUGGCUAAAAAUAAGGUAGAAGUUGGUUACGCAUUGGUGUAUUUAAAACUAUAGGUUUUGAGAAACUAUAAUUGCAAAAAUCGUAUGUGACGUCAUGACGUCAACCAUUUCUCGUCGUGACGAGGGUUGGACUCCAAGCUACAAUGUGACUAUGAACCCCGUCAUCCCGACGAGGCCAAGUUAGUAUGUCACAUUGCGACAAGAAACUAUCUCACGUCGUGACAUCAACUCUAUAAUUUGAAUUCUUUACAAUUCAGUACUGGUUUGAUCUCGGAUUAGCUUAUGAAUUUUUGUAAGCUUGUAUAAUACCCGGACAUGUUUAUUUAUCAUGUUGUUUACUUAUAAUGUUCAUAUUGAAUGUUAAAAUGGAUUGAAAUUGUGUCUAUUUUUAUCGUAUUUGCUUUGGCAACGAAUGAGAUACACUAUAGUUCGAACUCGGUGAUCGGGUCAAGUAUAGAGUGUUACACCUACAUAACUUUGCCUCGUUAUGUAAAAAUGCGAUACUCUUAGUCACGUCAUGUUAUCACCUAAAAUUUUUUUUACAGAAAAAUAUAAUUUUUAAAUGAUUAUAUAAUAUAAUAUUAAAGUACUACAACAUCACAUAGAUCUAAACUGAAAAAAUUUACCAAAUUUCAAAACUAAUGUGAAGAAAGAAAUGAAUGAUUAAAUAAAAAAAAAGAUAAACUUUUAUCCAAAAACAAAAGCAACAGCAAUUUCAACUUUGGAAUUUUUUUCUUCCCUAUGGCCCCAAGAAAUUAGGUGAUAGCGCCUGUUUUUUACUUCCACUUUGAUUAAUUAUUUGCCAAAUUAAUGAGGUAUGUGUUUUAAUUUCACAAGAUUAAACAUUAUCAUUUUUUGUAAAACAUUAUUUUAAAAUUUUAAAAAUAAAUGUUUUAAUUUCACUUAUAAAAUUAAAAACAAAACACCUUUAAUAUCUAUAUUAUAUAUAAAGAUUUUAAUUAAAUUUAUGUCACUUAUAAUUGAUUCUCAAUUAAAUUAUUAAAAUAUCAAUAUAUUUUUAUUUUAAUAAAAUAUAAAUAGUAAUUGAAGGUUAUUUUUAUCCUUUGAACAUAAUAAAAUUUGAAAUCAACCCAUCAAAUCAAUUCAGCCAAUAUAGUAGGUGUGUCAUGAGUCAUAUUUUAAUGUUAAAUAAUAAGUUAGUUUUUAAAGAAAAAAAAAAGACUAGGCUCGUGGCACGACUUCUAUUACGUUUCUCUUUUCUGCAAAAAGAUUCUCCCACUUUCGAUAUUCUAUUUUAUAAAUAUAACGAUGGUAGGAUAUUAAAGUCAUUUUUUUAUUAAAAAAAAGUUUUUUUUAAGCUUUUUAUUUUUGUUGUUUAGGCUUUAUUCUAUCAUUAUAAUUCACUAAAAAAAUUUUUAUUACUAUAAGCUGCUUCACCAGCCACAAUCGUCUCCACCAAAAGACCUCUCUAGAUACACUUUUUAAGAACCAUGCACCAUAUUUCAAGCCCCUCAUCUCAAUCACUAACAGCUCUCCACUCUAUAAGAGUGAACCGCUCCAAACCUCCACCAUCUUCUCUAUUUUGUUGAAAUUUUAUAUCAAUAAUUGAUCAAAAUUACUUGCGUUCACAUGAUAAAAUUUGAUCUAAAACAGGUUAGUCUCUUCUAUUCAACAUACCUACUCACUAUUUUCACCCCUUUAAAUGCAAAGCUUGAUGACUUUGUACCUGUGUUGGGUUGGUCUCUUGCCAAGCAGUGAACGCCACUAUAUUUCGAGCUAUUAUUAAUAUAUACGUAUGCGUAAAAAGGACCCUUCUCCAUAUUCGAGAGCUCUGCAUAUGAGAGUGCUCCAUCAUGUGUUAGUGUGGCUUUAUUGCUUGAAAACUCAUUGCUCCCAUGGAAGUAAAUUUCUUUUAAUUGGAUUGCCUUGAAGUUCAUAUUUUGCUGUGUGAGUUUCAAAACAACACAUUCUGGACACUAUAUUUAGAGUAUUUGAGCACACCACAUACAAAUAUCUUUAUCUGUUCACAUAUAAAAACUACAUGAUAUUAUCGAUACAUAAUAAAAACAAAAGUGCACACACACAUUGGCUUCCAUAAAAGCAGCACGGUCUUAUUUAGUUUCCUACGUACACACCCUGCCUGACUCAGAUCCUGUCGUGCCUUCCCAGUAGCAGUAGUUGCUCAAAUGGAAGAGCUGAGUGAUUCUUCUGCGGUUUGAAAGUUGAGACUGUAGUAAUUAGAACCAGUGUAAGUGCCGCCUUGCACUUCAGAUAUGACAAUGUUGCCAUUAUAAAGAGAGUCCUUUUGCAUGUACGUGAACGGAACAUCACAUGUACCAUUUAUUGCAGUCAGAUUCACUGUCACCUUAGUCAUCGGAGGCAAAACAACCUUGUAUAGAACAUCUAUCACAGAGGUCACUGUCUUGGUAUCUUCCCACUCAAAUCCUGUCUGAAUUUCGCCAGAUAACUCGAUGCGCCCCUUAAUAAUUUUUGGAUAUUGUUCGAAGUUCAUGGUAGCUUUUGCCCCUACCUUUAGUGAUACAUUAGCCUUCCAAGUACGAAUGUGGGUGUCUGUGUAAGAAAGUUUCAGGUCUAAAGAUUCGGAUUUCUGGGUAUAGUUACUAGCAGAAUUGAUCGCAAUCACAAGUUUGCUUUCGUCGUAGAUCCUGCAAUUAUCAAGAUCAUACUUGAUAUUAUAAAUUUUCCUUUCCAAAACAGGCACUUCCACUCGAAGCUGGACGUCCUUUGUAAUAGAGGAGACAUUUGCGUUAAGGCAAUUAGUCUUCCCCUCCUUACUGAGGCUCUUGCAGAAGUUAUUGUUGCCCAAAUUGCGAAGAGCUAUUGUCUGGUCGUUAACUUUGAAGGGUCGAAACAAGGUGUCCUUGAUGUUGCUGGUAGUGUCAUCAGAAUCCGCCCAAAUCCAAUUCAGACUCCGCCGCCAAAACUUAUUGGAACAAGCAGGCUUGAUGCGAAUGCUUCCAUCAUUAUUCAUGAAAACCUCCAUGGUCACACCCGCAUCACCAAU